rnacentral:lncRNA from 1 species
AAUCCCUAAAUCACCUCAAAGAGGGAUCUAACAAAUGAAUGAGCAAGGUUCAGACUUUAUUCCUUCCAAAGACUGCAAAUGAUGAACCAAACUCGAAUCCUUCAGUCCCCUCUUGAUCCUUUUAUGCUCUUCCUUCUUCCUUGAGGUCAAAACUCACAAGAAUCACUCAAAAAGCUUUAGAUCUUCCCAAAAACGGCUAGGGUUUGAUAUGAGGGGUUUCUGGAAGCAUAAAGGGGCGAUGGGGGGUGCAUAAGGUUGCUUAAAUAGGGUGCAAACCCUCAGAUUAGGGUUUUUUCCAGACAGAGGCUACUCGCCGAGUCCGGACNNNNNNNNNNNNNNNNNUUAAAUCCCGUGCCCUUUCCCGCUCCUACUCGGCGAGUCGAGCCUUUAACUCGCCGAUUCCAAGGCCAAAAUUCAAGAUACUUAAAGGUUUAAAUAAAAGAAUACGUACCAAGAACCAGUUGCUACAAAUCUCCCGCACUUAUUUUAGACUUCGUCUUCGAAGUCUGUUGCUCGCUCCUGAAACAGCUCGGGGUAAUGUUCCAUCAUCUCAUCCAUUGGCUCCCAAGUCCACUCCGAUCCCUUCCGGUGCUUCCAUUGCACCUUCAUGAGUUCCACUCUCUUGUUCCUUAGAUCCUUCGAAUUUCGGUUGAGGAUCGCUACAGGACGCUCGAUGUAAUUCAGGCUGUCAUCAACCUGAAUGUCCUCCAAAGGCACCACUGCAGUGUCGUCCACCAGGCACUUCCGCAGUUGUGAAACAUGGAAAAUGAUGUGUAUUUGACUGAGCUCUGCUGGCAAAUCCAACCUAUACGUCACCUUGCCCACCCGGGCUAAUACCCUGAACGGUCUAAUGUAUCUGGGGCCUAACUUGCCCCGCUUCCUGAAUCGGAUGACACCUUUCCAAGGUGACACCUUCAGGAGAACCAUAUCCCCGACCUGAAACUCCAGGUCUAAUCGACGCUUGUCCGCAUAACUUUUCUGCCGACUCUGAGCAGUCUGAAGCCUGCUACGGACCUGCUGAAUCCUCUCGGUCGUCUUGAGCACUACCUCGGUGCUCCCCAUGACCCUCUGGCCACCCUCCCCCCAACAUAUCGGGGUCCUGCACCUCCUCCCAUACAACAUCUCGAAUGGAGGACGGUCGAUGCUCGCAUGAUAGCUAUUAUUAUACAAGAACUCUUCCAACGGGAGGUAGGUAUCCCAGCUACCUCCGAAGUCUAAAACACAUGCCCGCAACAUAUCUUCCAGAGUUUGGAUGAUCUGCUCGCUCUGGCCAUCCAUCUGUGGGUGAAAGGCAGUACUAAAAUGCAGACGAGUACCCAGCUCGUCAUGAAACUUCUUCCAAAACCUGGAAGUGAACCGCACAUCCCUAUCCGAAAUCACUGAAACUGGCACUCCGUGCCGCGCCACCACCUCUCUGAUGUAGAUAUCAGCCAAUUUCUCGGCCGAGAUGCUCUCCUGAAUCGGGAUAAAGUGGGCGCUCUUGGUCAAUCGAUCGAUGAUGACCCAAAUCGAAUCCACUCCCGCGCGGUCCUGGGAAGCUUCGUGAUAAAAUCUAUCGUGAUGUCUUCCCAUUUUAACAAUGGGAUAUCCAAUGGCUGCAUCUUGACGUGUGGUCUCUGAUGCUCGGCCUUGACCUUCCUGCAGGUCAAGCACCGCUCCACGUACCACGCCAUAUCCCGCUUCAUGCAGGGCCACUAAUAGUCCAGACGAAGAUCCCUAAACAUCUUCGUCGCCCCGGGAUGAAUGGAGAACCGGGAUUUAUGCGCCUCCUCCAUCAGGACCUGGCGCACGCCUCCAUGAUAAGGGACCCACACCUUACGGUGAAGAGUCAAUAACCCUCGGCUAUCAUAGUCGAAAGAGGAAACCUGCCCCACAAUCCGCUCACUCUUCCGAUGUUUCUCCUUCAUUGCCUCCUGCUGAGCCUCCCGAAUCCGCUCCAGCAGCGGAGUGACCACUGUCAUCCUUAGGCAAAUAUCUCGGAUCACCGUUGCCUUGCGGCUAAGCGCGUCAGCCACCCACAUUGGCUUUCCCCGGAUGGUAAAGGAUCUCACAAUCAUAAUCUUUUACNUGGUCCAUGAGAUACCUCAAACUCUUGUGGUCCGUGUAAAUCGUACAUCGAACCCCAUAGAGGUAAUGAUGCCAAAUCUUGAGGGCGAAAACAACAACCCCCAACUCCAAAUCAUGCGUCGGGUAGUUCGCCUCGUGAGGCUUCAGCUACCUCGACGCAUAGGCGAUGACAUGCCCUCUAUGCAUCAAUACCGCUCCCAAACCUGUGAUGGAUGCAUCGCAGUACACAACAAAAUCCUCCAUGCCCUCUGGCAAGGCUAAGAUUGGCACCUCGCACAAUCUAUGUCUCAGCGUCUCGAAUGUGGCCUGCUGCUCAGGCCCCCAUCGAUACACCACCGACUUCUUAGUCAGUCGGGUGAGCGGAACUGCUAUCUUGGAGAAGUCCUAAAAGAAUCUCCGAUAGUAUCCUGCCAAUCCUAGAAAGCUCCGAAUCUCAGAUGGAGACCUCGGAACCUCCCAACUCAUCAUGGCCUCCACUUUGGCCGGAUCUACCGAAAUCCCGUUCUGGUUGACAAGGUGCCCAAGAAACUGCACCUCGCGCAACCAGAACUCACACUUGGAGAACUUAGCAUACAAGUUCUCCCUCCUCAAAGUCUCCAGAACCUCCCGCAGAUGCUCCUCAUGCUGCUCUCGCGUCUUGGAGUAAACCAAGAUAUCAUCGAUAAACACUAUCACAGACCGGUCUAACAUCGGUCUACAUACGCGGUUCAUGAGGUCCAUGAACGUAGCAGGAGCAUUGGUGAGCCCAAACGCCAUCACUACGAACUCAUAAUGGCCAUAGCGUGUCCGAAACACGGUCUUCUGCACAUCUUCCUCUCCGACCCUCAUCUGAUGAUAACUUGAACACAAAUCAAUCUUGGAGAACCAAGAUGCUCCGUGUAAUUGGUCAAAGAGAUCAUCAAUCCUCGGGAGUGGGUAACGGUUCUUCACUGUUACCUUGUUCAGCUCCCGAUAAUCUAUACACAUCCGAUGCGACCCGUCCUUCUUUCUCACAAACAGAAUCGGGGCUCCCCAGGGUGAACUGCUCGGUCUAAUUAAACCCUUGUCCAACAGCUCCUACAACUUUGUAGAGAACUCCUGCAUCUCAGUAGGAGCCAACCGAUAUGGUGCUUUGGCUAUCGGAGCCGCACCAGGGACUAGGUCGAUCCUGAAGUCCACCUGUCGCUCCGGAGGUAUCCCAGGUAACUCUUCAGGGAAUACGUCCGCAAACUCUCGUACCACAGGUACAUCGUCCACCGUCACCCUACCCGUCUCCCGGGUAUCCAUAACAUAUGCGACAUAACUUGCGCAACCAUGUUGGAGGUAACGCCUAGCUCUCGCUCCUGAACAUAAAGCUGGUCCUCGCUGUGGCCUCUCGCCCUGAAUCACCAGCUCUCCCCCACUUGGGUCCUGACCCGCACCAACUGCUGCGCGCAGUCGAUCACUACCCCCAUUAGGGCUGAGCCAAUCCAUGCCUAUAAUCACCUUGUUCCCACGCAAUGGAAUGGGAACCAAGUCUACCAAGUAGCGCUCCUCAAAUAACCUCAACACACAAUCUCGGAAGACCUCAGAUGCUCGCACUGACCGGUCGUCCGCAAUCUCGACCUCUAGAGAGCAAUCCAACAUACCCGAAGACUCAGAAAACUUCUUGCUAAGCGCAAGAGAAAAAAAAUGAUCGGGUAGCACCCGAAUCAAAAAAUACCUGAACUGGGAUACCGUUCACAUGGAACGAUCCUAAACAAAGCACAUAUCAAUAUCAUAAACAUCAUAUACAUAAAUCAGAGGGAAAGAAUCAUACCAGUCACCACAUCAGGUGCAGCACGUGCCUCAUUGGCUGUCAGCUGAAAUGCUAGGCUCCGCACCACUGGAGCCUCUGUCUUGACCUUCCGGCCAUCUGUAACCCGUGCCGCCCCUGAGGCCGGCGCCGCUGCUGGCACUGCUGCUGACGUUGCUGACAAUCUCGGGCAAUUGGCCUUUUUUGGACCCUCUGAUUGCAAUGGAAGCAAAUCAGGUCUGUCAUCUGUACCGCAGGGACGGGGGCAGUACAAUCCCUACCAAAAUGCCCCACCUUGCCACACUUAUAACAGCCCGAACCUGGCCCAGUGCGAUAAGCUCCCUCGUGUGACUGACCGCAUUUCCCACAGCGGUCCCGUCCUGCCUGGCCUUUCGGCCUACCAUCAGAUCCCUUGGGCUUCUUCCCCGAAGCCCCGGUCGUCAGCCCCUCCACUGCCUUCCUCUUCUAGACGUGCUCCAGAUCAAUCUCCCUCUCCCUAGCCCUGGCAAUCAUGGAAUCCAAGGUAGGACAAGCUGAAAAACUAACAUGCUCCCGAAUGUCAGCUCAUAGCAUGUCAUGGUAGCAGGUCCUCCUCAUAUCCUCAUCACCCGCAUACUAGGGUACCAGCAAUGCCCUCUCUCGAAACUUGGCGGUGAUCUCCGCCACAGUCUCCGUAGUCUGCCUCAUAUCCAAAAACUCCCUGGCUAGCCGCUGAAGCUCCACAGCUGGCACAAACUCCGCCCUGAAUCUGGUCACAAAGUCUGACCAAGUCAUAGUCUCAACAGCUGAGGCUCCCAAUGAGUCACCAACAGACUCUAGGGUACCAGCAAUGCCCUCUCUCGAAACUUGGCGGUGAUCUCCGCCACAGUCUCCGUAGUCUGCCUCAUAUCCAAAAACUCCCUGGCUAGCCGCUGAAGCUCCACAGCUGGCACAAACUCCGCCCUGAAUCUGGUCACAAAGUCUGACCAAGUCAUAGUCUCAACAGCUGAGGCUCCCAAUGAGUCACCAACAGACUCUCACCAAUCCCUAGCCCUGUCUCGCAAGCAUCAUGCUGCAUAUCUCACCUUCGACCCCUCUGGCCAGAAGCUCGUCAGCUGCGCAGACUCAAUGUCUGCGAUCCAUCUCCAAGAAGCAAUGGGGUCCUUCACACCAUGGAAAUCUGGCACACCACUUCCACAAAAGUCCUUAAAGGACAGUGUGCGCGUACCCACCUGGCCAGAUGCCAUAUCACUCCUGAAUGACCGGAGAUGAUCCUCCAUCAGCUCAAUAAUCCCCUCCUUGAUCGACCCGAAGAUGAUAGGGUUCGAGUCAAGGAUGCCUCUCGUGAUCUCAGACACGAUGAACUCGCGCAGCCCGUCAUCAACCUGCUCGGAUCCCGCACCCGAGCCUGAUCCCGAUCCUGAUUCGGAGCCCGCUGUCCCAUGACAUGUGGUCGCCAUGCUGAAACUACACACAUAAAUGUCAGGAUCAUACAUAUACUCGAGAGAUCUAACACACUCUCCAAGGUCUCUGGUUCCAUCUAGGCCCUCCUUGGUUCGAGUACAGGUCCUCUGCUUUCAGUAGUACGAGCCCAUACUACCUUCCACAUCUACCUGUACCUUCCUCAAGGAUUGCUUCGACUUCACCAAGUCCCUUUUACCGAUACCCUUUCCACUGACCCCAUCCUAGGCUUCCCUAGGGCACUCUCCGACCUACCCUCCGCCAUCAGCUGCACCAGGAGCCCCUACCAUUUCCCCCUAACUAACUUGCAGGUACUGUUACAUAUCCGCUCCUUAGUUAGCUGGAAAUAGCCAGAACCCCCAUAGCGCAAAGCAAGCAGCAUUCGUGCAUCGAGUAACCAAAUCAGACAUAACCUAUAUAGGCCAUCCUACUGCUGACUAAACAGUCCUAGCAUACAGCUCAUACAACAGGCAUAUAAGGCAUCCCCCUAGAUCCUUAUCCCUAACUAGCAUGCAAUCAUCAGAAUCAUAUAUCAAGCACACAAGGCAUCUUCCUAGAUCCUUAGUCCUAUUCUAGCAUGAAAUUCUGAAUCAAAGCCAUAUAGCAUAACAUAACAUGUAUGGGUAUCUUGGAAAAACUUACUUGAGCCUAGCCGGUCGCAUGCAUCACACACCUUGUCUUUCUUAAAAUCCUUCCGUUUUGAUUUUUAGAAAACCAUUUUAUUAUAAAAAUCUUUUAGCCCCCUUAGUUUGAGUCCAGACACCCCGAGGGCGUGUCCGAAUCCCUUAAACCAAGGCUCUGAUACCAACUUGUAACAUCCCAAAAUUCAAGCCCGAAAAUUUCAUUUUUGAUUAAUUAAUUCAUAAAACAUUCAUUAGAAAAUAUUGUAAAAACACGUCAUCUCAAAACCAAGUGUCAUAUUUGAAACCCACAACAUAAACAAAUGUCAUAUCAGAGUACAAUCCCAGAAAACACCGUGCGGAAAAUCAUAUGUGUGUGUGAUGACACGCUACGCCGUUGGCUCCUUCCCCUUAGAUGAAGAGGUACCUGAAACCAGAAACUGAAACCGUAAGCACAAAGCUUAGUGAGUUCCCCCAUCAUACCACAUACCAUACAGUGCUAUCGGUAUCUUUCAACUGGUAAUCGUCAUCGGUAUCUUUCAACCGGUAAUCAUCAUCGGUAUCUUUCAACCGGUAACUGGGGACUAUUCCACCCCCAUACAAUAACAAUAUAUAUUCAUACAGUCAGGCAUAUCAGGGUACUGACCUACCCCUCGGUCCUAAGGACCACUAUCAGGGAAACUAUCCCUAUCAUGCACGUAACAUAUCAUACAAAUGUAACUCAUAACCAAACACUUAACCAGACCAAGAUAAUUAUCACAAAGACAAUCAUCUUCUAAAUACUCCUCAUUGGUGGGUCGGCAUUGUGGCCUUAGACCCAUCCCUACGGGAAGGUAACUCACUUCAUACAAGUAGCUACUGAUAAUCAGUGCGUUAAUCCUCUGUCCGCUGCUGCUCCGGAAAUCCUCCGGCUACAAACCCCACAACACUUAGUUAGAAACUAAUCUCUAUACUUAGGGUAAAAUGAACAUUUUACCCCCAACCAAGUCAAGUCAAAGUCAAAGUCAACUUCCAGUUGACCCGACUCACCGAGUUGGGCCAUCAACUCGCCGAGUCCCUCACUCUCUACUCGUCCUCAUCCGUGACCCUACUCGUCGAGUUGGGUCGUCAACUUGACGAGUUCUUCUCUCAUUCGAACGCCCCAUGAAAACUCAUCCGACUCGCCGAGUUGAUGAACAACUCAUCGAGUUGGCCUUCAUCUGAUGAACAAGAUUUGUCCUCGACUCGCCGAGUUGAUGAACAACUCGUCGAUUCUUUGAAGAUUGCCUUGGACUCGUCGAGUCCAUUCAUGCACUCGUCGAGUCCCAUGAACUUCCAGCACAAUGGCUUAGUCCAGAACGUUAGGUCACUCCCUGGGACCCUCUUAAAACCUGUCCACACUCAACUGGGUUCUUUUGACCCUCAACAGAAAGAGGCAAAACCCUUAGACUCGCCGAUUCCAAGGAUGGACUCGCCGAGUUGGUCACAUCCCUUCACUAAAACUUCGAUUUCAGAUGAACAAUACUUGACCAAAUGAUAGAUCCCAAACCCUGGACUUGAUCUAGCACAUAAAGUUACAAACUUUACGUGCAUGCAUGGGACAUUAGAGCUUAAAAGGCUCUAAAAAUGGUUCUUUUGUUGCAUGGGGCCUUCCUUGGGUGCAAAAGCAACCAAGAUCUGUCUUGGAACUCUUAUAAUGAAAUGAUACAGAAGCCCAAACCCCCAACCAUGUUUGCAAACAUGGUUGGACACCAAAAAUGGCUUAUAAAAGCCCUAAAUCACCUCAAAGAGGGAUCUAACAAAUGAAUGAGCAAGUUUCAAACUUUAUACCUUCCAAAGACUGCAAAUGAAGAACCAAACUCGAAUCCUUCAGUCCCCUCUUGAUCCUUCUAUGCUCUUCCUUCUUCCUUGAGGUCAAAACUCACAAGAAUCACUCAAAAAGCCUUAGAUCUUCCCAAAAACGGCUAGGGUUUGAUAUGAGGGGUUUCUGGAAGCAUAAAGGGGCGAUGGGGGGUGCAUAAGGUUGCUUAAAUAGGGUGCAAACCCUCAGAUUAGGGUUUUUGUCCAGACAAAGGCUACUCGCCGAGUCCGGGACCCGACUCGGUGAGUCCGCGACUUAAACCCCGUGCCCCUUCCCGCUCCUACUCGGUGAGUCGAGCCUUUGACUCGCCGAGUCCAAGGCCAAAAUGCAAGAUACUCAAAGGUUUAAAUAAAAGAAUACGUACCAAGAACUAGGUGCUACACAUAUUGUCCCUAAAAUAAAAAAGAAGCCAUCAGUGAAUCUUAAUAUUGUCGAUGAUAGUGACAAUAACUCAGAUUAAAGAAAAAAAACCUGAUAUUAGAGAUGAAGUGGAGGGAGAUGAUUAGCUUAGGUGCAGAUUUAUUGGUUAUAGUUUCUUUAUAUUUAAUAUUUUGUGUUUGGGGGGGGGGGGGGGGGGGGUUAUGUGGUUCAUUUUGAAGGAAUAUAAAUAAGUUGUUAUUUUUUUUGAAAUAAACUGUUAUAUUUCGCAAUAUAGCCAUAAAAUAACAAUGUAUUUUGAAAGUACAUUGUCAAAUGUUGGAUUAUACUUGUGUAGACCCAUUUUCACGCGUAGUUGGCUAUAUAUAAUUGUUUUACGUGUCACAAGUAAAAAAUGUUUGAAGGUACUUAUAUGUGACAAGCAAAGUCAUUGAACUAAUAAAACAAAAAAUAUUGUCUAUAAAGAGGUCAUUCAACACUAUAUAUAUUUACCUAUUUUAAUGUAAUUUCUACACAUUUCAAUGAUAACAAUAUCUCUGCUUUUUUAUAAUUAUUCUGUAAUAUCUAUAUUAGUUUGUAUUUUAUUUAUGUGUUCCCCGCGUUUAACGCGAGUCAUAAUCUAGUUCUCUCUAAUCAUUGAAGGUUUUUUUUUACUAUUUGUCACACUCUCAUUCAAUUUGUCAAUUUUCAUUUUGAAUUGAUUUUUUUUCCACAUGUUAUUUUAUGUUUUUUCGAUUUUAUUAAAUUUAACAUAAUAUUUUAAUGUAAUAAUUGCAAUAAAUGUAGUAAUAAAUGGAUAUCAAUUUCAUUAAUAAACUUACCUUUUAAUUUCAAAUUUUUUAAAAUUAAAGCUCAUUAGUUUCUUUUCUUUAUUUAAAUUAUUUGUUUAAAUUUAAAAGAUAAAAACAUUUACAUUAUAAUAAUUCAUUAUUUUUCUUAUUUUCUUAUAAAUUCAAAGCUCUUAAAUAAAUUGACAUUUAUAUUUAACUUUUUCUUUUCUUAAAUUGACUCAUGUAAUACAUAAGUCUUACAACUAGUACAUUAAACUCAUAUAAGUUCAAUUCAUUGACACAUAUACAUUUCAUUCAUUAUAUAUGUGUAAGGAGAGAGAGUAUAGAGUUCAAUGGGGAUUGAACUCCCUAUUCUAUUGAAUAACAUGUCAUUAACCCAAAAUGAGGAUUUUAAGUUUAAUAGGAUUCAACUCUCCAUUCAACUUCCAUUGGAGACGAACUUAUGACGCCUAAUUGCUUGACGGUAGAAUAUUCAAUUUCUAUCUUUUGAGAUGGCUAAAGAUAUGAUUUGUUAGAUGGAUGAUUUAUAGUUUACUAAGAAGAAAAAGAAAAUUUUGUUGCGGUUGUUUUUAUGGUUGAAUGUCCAAUUUGGUCUUUUCAAAAUAAGAAGCAACUUUUCACUCUAUCGUGCCUCAAUCAUAUAAUUUUCUUUUGUAGUUUUCUAAAAAAAAUGUUGAUUAAAUAAGUUGGUUAAGAGAUCUAAAUGUUUGUCUUUCACUAACCUUUUGUUACCUUUUGAAUAAACUUUGUAGUUAAAACAAUGGAUUGUAAUCAAGAUAAAAGUUUAUAUAUAAACACAACCCAUCAUAUAAUUGAAAAAGAAAAAAAAAAAAAAAAAAACCCACAUAUCUAGACUUUAUUGUUAACCAACAUCAUACCUUAUCAUUUAAUUCUAUUUAUUUUUAUAUGAACUUUGAAAAGAGUUAUUUAAUUACUAGUUAAAAGUUUGAGCAACCGAUGUUUCUCAACGUGAAUUUCUAUAUUUAUAAAACAUAAAUCGAUAGAUAUAAGAAAAAAUUAAACGUAAAAAAGCAUGUUUUAAUAUCCAUUUUGAUUAUUCGAUCGAUACGUUGCCAUACAAUGUGCGAGAUAAUCGGCCCAUUCCCGAGCAUUAUACAGGAUAAUAAAACACACACGUCAUUUGGUGUAUAAAAAUAAAAUAUAGGACCACUUAUCUUCUACUUUACGUGAUAACGGUCUUAAUGGAUCAAAAGAGAUUAAGGUCCAGAUGUGUACUUUUUAGUAGGGGUCAGAAAAAACCGCAUCGCAACUAAAAUUAACCGCAUAAACCGCAACCGUAAUAAAAAUCGAUGGUGUGGUUUUCUGUUUUUCAAAAACCGCAAAUUUACGGUGUGGUGCGGUUAUCAGUUUUCAAAAACCACAAAAAAACGGCACCGCACCGCAUAUAUUACAUACAAUUUUUUUUAUUAAUUGUUACUAUAUUAAAUAUAUUAAAAAUAAGACAAGUUUAUGGAUGAAAGAUAGAUAAAAUGCUAGAAGACAAAAGUGUUGGUUUUUUGCUAUGUUUAACUUUGAAAAAUGGUGAAAUUAAACAAUUUUAAGAUAUUUAUUGUUUUCUUUUGAAAGAAUUAAGAUAUUUAUUGUUAAUUACUAUUGAUUUGACGUUUUUAAGAUAUUAGUUGGUUAUGAUUUAAGUUGAUUGUCUUAUAUCUUAUGUUUUUUUAUCAUUAAAAGUAAUAUGUUUGAAUUCUUGAAAUCGUUUGAGUUCUAAACUGUGGUUAAAAACCAAACAAAAUAACCGCACCAAAUCCAUGUAGUUAAUAACCGCAACACAAAAAAAAUAAAACCACACCGCAAAAAUAACCGUCUAACCAUACCGCACAAAAAACCGCACCAAACGGUUUUGAAAAUGGAUUAACCGCAUUUGCAGUUAGUGGUGAGGUUUUGGCUAAUAACCGCACCGCGCUCACCCCUAAUUUUUAGUAUUUAAUAUAAUUUAAAAUGUUAAGUAUAUCUUAGUGUUUUUUUUAUAACUAAUGUACUGUAAUAAAUAUGAAGGAUAUAUACACUAAAGUCUUAAUAUUUUUAACGAUUUGACAAGAAAGUUCUAAACUUUGUUUUUUUGACAGUAAAGUCCUAACUAUCAUAGUUUUUGACACACAUAUACUUUUUUGCCGGUUAGGAUUUUUUUAUUAAAUAGUUGAAAAUAUUGAGACUUUAGUGUAUAGUCUUGGUUUCCCUAGAAAAAAAUAUUUUUAUCAGUCUCGUGAAACUCAAUUCGUAUCCCAAAAACUUUUAAUUGUGAUUUUCAUUACAACAUCACUGUUUUUCUUACCAUCAUCAUUUUUAUUCUACUACAAUGACAAUUAGGAAAACAGAUGCAAAAGAGAGAGCAAGAGAAGGUGAGAAGGCUUGUAAAACUUUUUUCUUGGUUAGCCGCCAAAUUUUAAACUGAAAAUAGAGGAUAGAUUGUACAAACACAAGCACUACAUGCUUAGUCAAAAAUGUGUAAAUGUGGAGAAAGGUAAGAAUGACAGUUUCGUCUUUUUUGAUUUCUUAAUUUUCCAUUUUUAGAAUUGCAAAAAGCCAACACAACCCUGGUUCUUUCUUUCUUUCUUGAUUAUCUUCAUUUUUUUCAAUGUCGAUUUGUUGGGAUUUAAAAAAAACUAUUUAACAAAAAACAAAUAUUAAAUAUUUCAAUAGGAUCUAGCUGAUAAGAGCAAGUUCCAAUAACUCUUAUACUUAAAGAAUAUCAUCCCAUUUCUAACAAAAAAAAAAAAAGAAGAGAUAUAUACACUAAAGUCCCAAUAUUUUCAACGAUUUGAUAAGAAAGCCCUAAACUUUAUUUUUUUGACAAUAAAAUCCUAAUUCGCGAUAUGGCGGACUAGUUANUUUAUUGUUUUCUUUUGAAAGAAUUAAGAUAUUUAUUGUUAAUUACUAUUGAUUUGACGUUUUUAAGAUAUUAGUUGGUUAUGAUUUAAGUUGAUUGUCUUAUAUCUUAUGUUUUUUUAUCAUUAAAAGUAAUAUGUUUGAAUUCUUGAAAUCGUUUGAGUUCUAAACUGUGGUUAAAAACCAAACAAAAUAACCGCACCAAAUCCAUGUAGUUAAUAACCGCAACACAAAAAAAAUAAAACCACACCGCAAAAAUAACCGUCUAACCAUACCGCACAAAAAACCGCACCAAACGGUUUUGAAAAUGGAUUAACCGCAUUUGCAGUUAGUGGUGAGGUUUUGGCUAAUAACCGCACCGCGCUCACCCCUAAUUUUUAGUAUUUAAUAUAAUUUAAAAUGUUAAGUAUAUCUUAGUGUUUUUUUUAUAACUAAUGUACUGUAAUAAAUAUGAAGGAUAUAUACACUAAAGUCUUAAUAUUUUUAACGAUUUGACAAGAAAGUUCUAAACUUUGUUUUUUUGACAGUAAAGUCCUAACUAUCAUAGUUUUUGACACACAUAUACUUUUUUGCCGGUUAGGAUUUUUUUAUUAAAUAGUUGAAAAUAUUGAGACUUUAGUGUAUAGUCUUGGUUUCCCUAGAAAAAAAUAUUUUUAUCAGUCUCGUGAAACUCAAUUCGUAUCCCAAAAACUUUUAAUUGUGAUUUUCAUUACAACAUCACUGUUUUUCUUACCAUCAUCAUUUUUAUUCUACUACAAUGACAAUUAGGAAAACAGAUGCAAAAGAGAGAGCAAGAGAAGGUGAGAAGGCUUGUAAAACUUUUUUCUUGGUUAGCCGCCAAAUUUUAAACUGAAAAUAGAGGAUAGAUUGUACAAACACAAGCACUACAUGCUUAGUCAAAAAUGUGUAAAUGUGGAGAAAGGUAAGAAUGACAGUUUCGUCUUUUUUGAUUUCUUAAUUUUCCAUUUUUAGAAUUGCAAAAAGCCAACACAACCCUGGUUCUUUCUUUCUUUCUUGAUUAUCUUCAUUUUUUUCAAUGUCGAUUUGUUGGGAUUUAAAAAAAACUAUUUAACAAAAAACAAAUAUUAAAUAUUUCAAUAGGAUCUAGCUGAUAAGAGCAAGUUCCAAUAACUCUUAUACUUAAAGAAUAUCAUCCCAUUUCUAACAAAAAAAAAAAAAGAAGAGAUAUAUACACUAAAGUCCCAAUAUUUUCAACGAUUUGAUAAGAAAGCCCUAAACUUUAUUUUUUUGACAAUAAAAUCCUAAUUCGCGAUAUGGCGGACUAGUUAUACUGAAGACUCCGAGAGCAAUCCAGAUAUGAUGCAGGCCCGGCGCAACGGUCCAGUCAGGAUGAAGGCUCAUGUAUGCAUGUUGUUAUCUGUAUGGUUGUAUGCGGUACUUUAGGGGAACUCACUAAGCUUUGGCAUACAGUUUUCAGUUAACAUUUUAGGUACUUCAGAUAACCGUAGGAAGCAAAGGCGUAAUCGUGUACAUCCUCUUAGUUUUGAUAAUACUGAUUUGGGACAUUUUGAUAUAUGAUUUCUACUUUUGAGAACAAUGUUUUGUAAAAGUUUGGUUUUGAUUUGGAUUUUUUCUGAAAAUAAUGAUUCCUCUUGAUUUAAAAAUGAAAAAAAAAAUUAUCAUGAAUUUGGGAUGUUACAUAAUUUCAUAUUUGUCCACGACAAGACUUAAAGUUCAAUAUCAAAAAAGAAGGUCACCAUGAUAUCGCUGGGCUUGAACCUCUUUGUUAGUAUGUAGUGAUACGAUCUUGACAACAUUUGCCAGAAAAUAUUAAAGCAUACAUAAUGAAAUGAAAUUAUAAAACAAUAAAAUAAGAGAAAUCCAGUAAUUUAACCCAUAAUGAAAUGAAGUCUUCGAAGAAAAAAAAGUAACCUAAUUUUUUUUUAAAUAAUCACUUUGUCCGGAAUAGUUCACUCAGAGAGAUCAUCGGGAUACCGGAAUAGGAUCUGGACAAACGUUCCGGAAAAGUCUUUAUUUUUUUUAUUUUUUUCGUAUAAUGGGUUUUGUGUUAAUUUUUUUGUUUAUUGUUUUUGUAUAAUAUUUGUUUUUAUGAAAUCUAUAUUGCAAUUGUAAAAGUGCAUGAAAUGUUAAAAUCUACUACAAAAAGUAAAAAAUACAUGAGCUUAAAUUUGUUUUAAAUAAUAAUACAAUAUUCAAGUAAACUUUAUCCUUAUACCUCAAAAUUAAAUUUUUUUUAAAAAAUAAUACAAUAUUUAAAUAAAAUUUAUCCUUAUAACUCAAAAAAUUUCAUCAAUCGUUUGCUAAAAGUGAUUAACAUUACGGACACGUUCUUCGCAUUCCUGACAAGUUCUUUGCAUUUCAGAAUGGUAUUUUUUCUAAAAUAUUAAUUUUUGAUGUGUAAUACUGACAAGUUCUUCGCAUUUCGGAAUGGUAUUUUUUCUAAAAUAUUAAUUUUUGAUGUGUAAUGCCCUAAUAUAAAUAAAUAAAUUGGUUUUCGGUCGGUCCUACAUCGUCAACAUGUGUUGCUACACUGGUACGUGUUAAUCACCUUGGUACGUGUUCUGUUCAUUCUACUCUGGUACGUGUUCUUUUCAUUCUAGAUUAAUGUUCUAAAAACAAAAAUCUUAAAACUAAACUACUAAAAGAGUAAGAACUUACCGUAAAACAUCCACAUCGUCUUGAUUGUGUUCAGAUAUGUCCGAGAUCGGAAUACAUGUCGGAAUGCGUUUGUAAACCAAGAUCUGAAAUGUAUCAGAAUAUAAUCUAGAAAAUGAAUUACAAGUAGUCCGGAAGGCCCAACUCGCUACAAAGUCUGAAACUGACUCAUGAAUGGCUCAUUCCAGAUACGAUAAUUAUUUUGCAAAAAGUAAUUAAAUAUGUUAUUUUUUUAAAGUACACUAAAAAUAUUUAAAUUAAUCAUUAUCCCAUAACAUAAAAAAUAGGUUAAUGAAAUGGAUCAUAUUAUUAUAGUUUUAUUUUAGUUUUCCAGANNNNNNNNNNNNNNNNNNNNNNNNNNNNNNNNNNNNNNNNNNNNNNNNNNNNAAAGGAAUACUAAAUUUGUUAUUUUUUGGCAGAACUGGUCCUGUAUUAUUAUUGGGUUUCAAAGUUGGGAAUAAUAAAUUUGGAUGUUUUUUGUCAACUUUGUUUUUUCAUUCUUUAACCAUUUUGACACUUUUGGUCAUUACAAUCAAUAUUUUUACACUUUUUAGGAACCUUUUAAUCUUUAAAGUUUGGCCACAAAACUUUAACGGUUUGACAACUUUGAUCCCUUUUCUAAAAAGUUGCUAAUUCCUACCCCUUUAAUUCUUUAGCCAUUUUGACACUUCUGGUCCUUGCAGUCAAAACUUUUACAUUUUUUCAUAAAAACAUGAAAAAAACGGUCUGGGGCAAAGUCCGGGCUUUUCAUCCUUGCACUUUCUACGUCUGUCAUAUUUAUCGAUUCGCAAACAACAUUGAAAGCUUCCGGCCCCCGCAUAGCAGGGGUAACAUUUCUAGUUUUAAAUAUAUCUCUUCUUUUUAGGUAUGAAAUGACAAACUGAAAUUAAUAAAAGGAUAUUAUAUUAAAAAACAAAGUUUUAAUUAAAAAUAUAUAUUUUUAUAUAAAAUUCAAUCCAGAAAACAAACGUUAUGUUUUAUAAAAAUAUUUUAUUUUAUUUUCUUUGUUAGAGCAUCGGGUAUGGGGUUAAGCCGUGUUUAUUGUUGAGGUGGUGGCUAAAACGCCGUCUUAACGCAAGGAACACCCUCUGUUUUUCAAUUCAUACAAUUCUUCUCUUUUCUCUAUAUUCUAUUUAAUUUCAAAACUUUUCAAAAAAAAUUACUGAUCCUUUCGUCGAGUCCGAUGAUGAUAGUGACGAUAUAUUCAUCACUAUGAUGUACUAGUAUUGCACUAACGAGUACAACUAGACACAACCACUUUACUAACAAAACGUGCUAUGUUAAAUAGAAAUCGUGAGGAAAGACACGAAUGUCUACAUUGCGAUUACGUUCCAGAAAAUAGUGUAUACGGGUCAAAGGAGUUUAAAAUAAGAUUUUGUUUGGGUAGGAAUGUGUUUCUAAGGAUCGUCAACACCUUGCAAAGCCAGUAUCGUUUAUUUAAUUUUAAUACAUAUUUAUUAUAUUUUUAAUACAAAUUUACUACAUUUUUAACACAUAUUUUUAAUAGAAAUUUACUACAUUUUUAAAACAUAUUUUUAAUACAAAUUUACUAUACUUUUAAUACAUAAUUAUUAUAUGUUUAGGUAUAUAUUUUUUCAAUUAAGAAAUGAUGCUCGAGGUAGGCGAUGAUUCACAACAAUGUAGAAAUGUGUUGCGACCAUUCGUGUGAUAGUUAUAGGAGAGUCACCCGAUACUAUAGACGAUUAUAUCCGAAUGUUUGAAAAAUCUACGAGGGAAAGUUUGUAUAGAUUUUCAAAAGGUGUUUGCUGAAACAUUCAGAGACGUAUAUUUGCGGUAACCUUUGUUGCAUUAUAUGCAAGAACUAUAUGCAACACAUGUAGAAAGACAAUGAUUUCCCAGAAUGCUUGGAAGCAUUGAUUGCACACACUGAAAAUUGAAAAAUUGUCCAGUAACAUAGAAAGGGCAGUAUGUAAGUGGUCAUCAUGAACCGCCUUCGUUGGUACUAGAGGCUGUUGCUUCCUAAGAUUUAUGGAUUUCGCAUGAAUUUUUCGGGGUUGCGAGUUCCAACAACGACGUCAACGUUCUUCACCAGUCACCAAUAUUCCACGAUCUUUUGUUAGGAAAUGCAUUGAAUGCUCUUUUCACAGUGAAUGAAAAUGAAUACAAGUUCGAGCAUUACCUUAUGGAUGGAAUAUAUCAUGCGUAUUCGACAUUCGAUAAGGAAUUCUUAAACCCAGGUGAAGCAAGAGAUAAAUUAUUCAAGAGAAUACAAAAAUGAGCAUGCAAGGAUGUGGAACGUGUUUGUAGAGUUCUGUAACACCCAAAGUUUUGAAGGACAAGAAAGGAAAGAAAACCUUAAUUUUAAGGGGCGACUCGGCGAGUCCAAGGAGGAACUCAGCGAGUCCGAGCGAGAUCCGAGUCGAGGAGUAAGUGACCGACUCGGCGAGUCGGCCAAGGUGACUCGGCGAGUCUGGUCUGUGCAAGGAAAACCCUAAAUUCGGGACUUGGAGCCUUUAUAAACGCCUUAACCUCCUUCCAAGGGUCCCUUUACUGCCUCUUGCACCCAGAGCAUCGAACCCCAAACCCCAUAGUUGCCCAUUCAAGCUCCCAAGCCAUAUUGAGUGAUUUGAAGGAAGAAGAAGAAGGGGAAAUCAUUGAGGCUUCAAGAAGUGGUCUUGGAUCUGAAGAUUUGGGGAACAUUUCUGAGUACCUGAAGGUAAUAAGUUGUUUCUCUCUUUUAGACCUUCUAUGGUUGUGAGAUUUAGGGAUUUUAAGCCAUGGUUUGCCACCCAAGUGAGCUAGAAGUCGGAUCUGGAGUUGCUACUUCAGAUCCAAGUGUGUUAUGAGCUGGGGAAGCAUAAAGUAUCAGCCCUUGAGUCAAUUUUGGAGCCCCUUUGGCCUUAAACCCUAGUUUAUGGUGGAUUGUGCCUAGAUCUCCUUCUCUACACGUAAAGUUUGCAACUUUACGUGGGGAAUAGGCUUGGGAAGGGUAGAUCUACAGUUUGGAGUCCAUGCAUGACUCGAAAGUCCUCUGCAUGUAAGUAGAUCCGAAUGGACUCGGCGAGUCCUUCGAGUGGACUCGGCGAGUAGCUUGAAGAUGAGGAGGAACUCGACGAGUGGGAUGAACAGCUCGUCGAGUCGGAUGAAGUUGGGCAGGAACUCGGCGAGUUGGAUGAACAACUCGGCGAGUCUGUUGAAGGUUGUCUUGGACUCGGCGAGUCUGUUCUUGGACUCGGCGAGUCAGGUCGCGAAACCCCAAACCCUUCGAGUUGAGACUCGAAUCAGUGAGUCGAAUGGAGACUCGGUGAGUUGGACAGGUCAGGACUCGGUAAUCGGUAGACUCGGCGAGUCAUGGACUGACUCGGCGAGUCGAGUCGCGAAUAGAAGGACUCUGAACAUAUGAACUCGGUGAGUCAAUAGGGUGACUCGGCGAGUAGGGUUGACCUGGAAGGUUGACUUUGACCAGGACUUUGACUUUGACCAGAGUUGACUUGGUUGUCUUUCGGGGGUCAGUUAGACUCAGUGUUGCAUUGAUAUUGGUAGCUCGGGGAGCGAGUGGAGCAGGAGUUCAGAGAGUUGUCGGGCAGCAGCUAGUGGGUUCAUCAGCCAGUUCAGCCAGUGCAGGUGAGUUUCCCUUUGUAUGAAUGGGUCUACGGCCACAAUGCCGGCCCAUGUAGUUAUGAGUAGAAGACCCGGGGGUUAGCCCUAGGCACAGUAUGCUAGUAUGAUAUUCGGGACGAGGUCCAAUGAUAGAGGGCGGGUGCCCAAGGAAUGGUUUAAAUGAUAGUUUAUACUUGUUGUCUGUGUGAUACUUGUAUGUGCCUGGUAGGGAGGUGAGUGUGGGCGAGGUCCCGUACCUCACCAAUAGCAGAGUGUGUAUGGUGUUCCAUAUCUCAGUAGCAGCAGAUCAGGGGCGAGGCCCAAGUUAGGGAAGGAGUGAGGGUGGGCUGGGCCCGUAUCUCACUAUCAGCAGGAGUAUGAACGGGGUUCCAUGAAUCAUCAGUAGCAGGACAUGGGCAGGACCCAGUGAUAGGCGAGGCCUUAGAACAAGAUCCGUUAGUAUGUAUUUAGCUUAUGUGAUGUGAUGUGAUAUGUUUAUGUGCUAUUAUAUGUUAGUGGGCGGGGCCCUGUGACAGGCGAGGCCUAAGUGAAACAGAUCUGUAUCCGAGCGGGGCUCGAAGCCAGGCGGGNGUUGUAGAGGGUGAGGCCCGAGGUAGGGGGCGAGGCCCAGGAUAGGGGGCGUGGCCCAGUAUGUGCAGUAUGUGGUUAUGCAUAGUAUGUGGUAGGGUGGGGAACUCACUAAGCUUCGUGCUUACGGUUUUCAGUUUUGGUUUCAGGUACUUCCGGUAGCGGAGGGAAGAGCUCGGGGUGAUCGCAUGGCACACACCAUAGUUUAGACAGCCUGGGGAUGUUUACUCUGAUAACGAACAUGUAUUUUGGAAACUAAUACUCUGUUUAUGUUUUGAAAUGAUGAAUUUGCUUAAAGUAAUGUUUUAUUAAAAGAAAUUUUUAUCCUGAAAUUUCGGGACGUUACAAGUUCUAUAGUCGAAGUGGCACAUAGUUGAACAUGCGACACUACCAUUGGACUUAAAAAAUCUAUGAUAUCUUAUGUAUGCAUAUAUUAUAAUGCAUAACAUGGUAGUGGAAGAUAAAUGACAAUAUUUCACACUAUAUAUCCCAACGGAGCACAAACAUAGUCAAUUUCAACCAGAAACAACAAAAUAUUUACAAAGAGUGGUUGAUAUUCAAGAUGCAAAUAAACAAAAACAGUUUCAAGAAGAUUUGAUUGAUUAUAUCUUCAAUGGUAAUGAUGAUGAAUAGUGUUGUUUAGGAAAAAUAAAUUAUGUUUUUUUUAUCUUGUAGUUUCUUUCUUUCUUUUUUUCUUGUUUUUUUUUUUUUUUUUUUUAAAUUUUGGAUGUUAUAUGUAAUUUAAAGACUAAACUACACAAAUGGUCCUUGUGGUUUGUCAAAAAUUGCCACUUUUGUACAAAAAUGUUUAGGCUAGCACCAGUGGUCUAAAAGUUUGAUUUUGUUGCGAGUUUUGUCCAAUUUACUUUGAAUUUUUUUAAAAUGACAAGUUUGCCCUUUUUUAAUUUCAUUUUCUAUUUUUUUAUUUAGUUAUAUUUCUGAUUUAAAUUAAACAAAAAAAAAAGAAAUUUGUUUUCAGUCCUCCCUCCGGUAAACAACGCCACCACCACCGAUCACCAUCUCCUCUCUCUCUCUCUCUCUCUCUCUCUCUCUCUCUCUCUCUUUCUUGUUGGUUGGNUCUCUCUUUCUUGUUGGAACACCUCUGAUCUCAACCCUCACCAACAUGCUCUUUGUUUCUUCUCCGACAAUGGAAACAUAAUUGUAAUGCCCGGGUUUCCAGGCUAGGCAUUAUUGGUGAUGUAAUAGUCUAGGUUAACCUUAUAACUCAUCUUGAAAUAAUAAAAUUGUAUUAUUGGAAUAUUAUGAUUUUUGUGCUUAAUUGAAUUAAGGAUAAAAUAAUUGUCAAAGUGAAAUGUUAUAUAAGCUCAAUAUCUAUGAAGGAAGUUGUAGUGGUUGUGACGAGGUUUCCAAAUAUAUAUAGAAUGCCGAAAUCUGAGUUAUAACGAAGAAGUUUCGCGACAGAACCGACACGACGCUGAAUGACAUAAAAUAUGAAUCUAGCAUUANAUACAAUUAUUCUAGCAUUAGUGAUCUAAAUGAAAGUCGUAGAAUAUGUUAAACCGAGAGCGUGCAUAAAAAGAACCCCAAAUCUGACUUCGUAUGAGGAAGUUAUGAUUUUCCGAAGUCUCGGGGCACAAAACCCGACUCUGUGUCAGGGUUCACGACAUAAACAUUGUGUUCACGACGUGAAUCCAGAAAUUUGACCCUUCCGGAGCUAGCAGACCCAAGUGGCUUGACGACGAACGCGACGAUCGAGCUCAUGACGUGAGCACUUGAAACUCAUGACAUGAACCCAGAAAAUUGGCCCUAUAAAUAGAAAUCAAAGGACAACGGAUUUAGCUUGCUACUUUCUUACCCUUCCACUCCCGAAACUCUCUCUAAGCCCUAUUUUAAGCCCCCGACGCCCCGGUAUCAUCCCGAGACCCAAAGCAAGUCCCAAAGCUCCGAAGAUCGAAGAAAAGAGUUUCUGAGCCGAAGCUCUGCCCGCGAGAAGUCCGGUGUGUGAAGAUAUCCCAGAUUCAUCGAAGAAUACUACUUGAAGAGCCGUAGCGUUGUCCGAGCAUCGUCUUAACAAGUGAGUGUGUAGUUACCUUCUUCUAACAUAUAAAUACGAAUUAUUUUCUAUGAAAUACGUGAUACAUGUUUAGAUAUUGUUGUUUAUUUGAAGUGAGUGUAUAUUCCUUUCUUCUAUCUGAUAAAUACAAGUAUUCUCUAUAAAAAUACGUGUUAUGUGUAGUUGUGUUGUUUUGUUUAAUUGAGAUGAUGUUGAAAGAAUGUUUUAUACAUGUUUAUAAUGAUUUAAUAUAUAUAUAUANUAUAACAUGGGUAGAUGAAUUAAGUUGUUGUGUGACAAAAAUGAUGAGAGAUCUCGUCGUUGUUUCUGAUUCAGUCAUCUAGCGGAGUUUAGAUGACGACCACAUACUUUUCUAGACAGUCCUGUGGAAGGCUAGCAGGCUCGCCACCUUUAGGUGUUUGUGAACUUAUUGUUCAGUUGUAUACUCCAUCCCCUACAUGGUUGCCUUAUUUGACAUAUAUUGCUGGAAAACCCCCGAAGCAUGUGUUGUCACCCCCGAUGAAUAUUCUUAGACUAGGUCCCUUGUGAAAGGUGUUUAGGGACGUAAAGUGAGAAUAACGGGAAUGUGUAAUUGGGUUAUUGUUGAUUGUUGAAAUUAAAUAAAUUAUUUAUUGUGGAGUGAAAGCCCUAUAUGCUCACCAGGCUCCCAAUCCUGAUCCACUCAGUUUUCUUUGUAUUACAGGUAGUGGCACCAGAGCAUAAGUUGGAUGAUUUGUCAGGAUAUUUUGGAUUAUAGACCUGUUGUUGUAAAUAAUUGUUGUAAGGUCUGUUUGUAAUGUUUAUGCUUUUGGUCUGUGUCGGAACAUCACAUCCCGAGUUUUGUUAUAUAAUGAAAAUACAUUUCUUUAAGAAAUGUUUUGGUAAAUCUUAUUUUAUCAUAUUUCAUUUUGGGAACAAAUUCCACAACUCUUUUAAUCAAAGGAUUACUCUGAAAUUAUUUUAAAAGCAUAAAUUAAACGGUCUUUUCUGGCCGUGAUUUUGGGGAUGUCACAGUUGGUAUCAGAGCAUUAGUUUAAGCGAACUAGGAAUUUGUAGCAUUUCUAGACUUAAAAUUAGAAUUCUAAGUGAAGAUUGUGAGAUAUGUGUCUGUUAUAUUUUAGACACGGGCACUAGUUUAUAUUAGGAAAGCUGCCUAAUAUGCUUUAUGUGCUAAAUGUCAUAUGUUUGCCAUAUAUUAUAUUAUUUGUUCGGAUCUAUGGUCUGUUGCCGACCGGAUCGGGAAACCUUAUGUGUGUAGGAUUCUAAACGCACUUCUACGGUAUUAGAACUAGCAUGUAAACGUUUCGGAGUAAUAUGGAGGAUUGUAAUAUCUAUCGUGAAUGAGGAUCUAAUUUCACCUUAUUCGGUGUAUAGAUCAAUAAUGGCAAGAUCAAGAAGCGGAGCUGGAAACGUAAAUGAAAAUAGGAAUCAACUGCCUGUGAUUGAACAAGUAGUUGUUGCAACAGCAGCACCUGAGCCAAUGACAAUGGCUGGUGUGCAAUUGAUGAUUCAGACGAUGUUGGAUCGUCAAAUGGAGGAGACAAGGCAUUUGCUUCAGCAGAAUCGUGAAGAACCUUCUAUGCCUGUUGAAUGGCCCGAAUUGAAUGAAGGGUAUUUGGAAGGAGGAAACUUCAGUGGGACUGUUGGUCAAGCCAACCCACCGAUAGUCAGAAAAAAUAACCAAGAUGGAGGGAAUGAUGGAAUGGGAUGCAAGUAUAAGGAUUUUCUGACUUGCAAACCAUCGACCUUCACUGGAAAGGAGGAUUCGAUCGAAGUCAUGGAUUGGAUCUUAGAGAUGGAAUUGGCCUUUAUGACGUGUGGUUGCAGAGGCAAGUUGCAGACUACCUUUGCAGUGCGUCACUUCAGAGGUAGAGCUGUUCAUGGGUGGAACACCCUAUGGAAUACUCUAAUCCCCAACGAGCCACUGUAACUGGCUUGGGCAGAAUUUUUGGUGCAAUUCAAGCACACGUUCUACUUAGCUCAAAAUCUGCUAGAGUUGGAGAACAACUUUCUGACAUUGAGGAAAGACAGCAUGUCAGUUGAUGAAUACACCAAUGCCUUUACAGACAAGAUGGAUUUUGCCUUGCAUCUUGUCCUGGAUGAGUUGACCAAAGUCAACAAGUACGCUAAGGGACUUCCAUGGGAGUACGAGGUGCCAGUACGUCAGGCACAUACUCUAGAGGCAGCUAUCUGGGCUGCCAAGUCUGUUGAGAAUAUGAUCAAGGGGAGAACCGCCAGCAAGGUUGAAGUUGGUGAUAAGAUAAAGUUUGAAGGAGCUUUAGGUUCGAGUAAGAAAAGUAAAUUUUCAAAGUCUACUUCGAAGAAGUUUGGAGGAGGAGUCGAAGCGAAGUGGUGUGAUAAGUGUAAGAAGAAACAUGUUGGAAAAUGUGGCGAGGAGGUCACUUGUUUUAAAUGUGGAAAGUCAGGGCACUACGCCAGAAAGUGCACAACCAACAAAAGGGUGUGUUAUGGAUGCCACGAAGAAGGGCACAUUUUGAAGGAUUACCCGAAGAAGGAGGGUGUAGCAAAACCCAACAUUCCCCCAAAGCCGAAAGCGAGAGCCUUCCAGAUGACACUGGAAGCUGCGAAAGAGGAAGCUGAUGUCGCUUCAGGUACCUUUCUCAUAAACGAAUUGCCUGCUCAAAUUUUGUUUGAUUCUGGAGCCAACUACUCCUUUAUUUCACAUGAAUUUGGUAGAAAACUAGCUUUGCCUAUUGCUAGACUAGAUAAUGCUUUCUUAGUCGAAGUUGCUAGUGGCAAGUUUGUACCUGUUAGCCAUUGCAUGAAAAACAUCUUCAUUGACUUGAAUGGGAAUAAGUUUCACAAGGAGUUAUUGCAUAUAGAACUUAAUGGUUUCGACAUCGUUCUGGGGAUGGAUUGGCUUAGCGCCAAUGAUGCCGAAAUAUUAUGCCGAAAGAAGAUAGCAAAAGUAAAUCCACCAGGGAAAGAGUCAUUUAUGGUGUAUGGGGAUAAACGUAGAGUGAAUUCUGGAAUCAUUUCCCUAAUGAAAGCCAGAAAGUGUUUGGCCAAGGGAUGUACAUUAUAUCUAGUAUUCGUAAUUGAUGCUAAGAAGGAAAAGAAGGAGAUGCAGAGUAUUCCAUUGGUGUGUGAUUAUCCAAAAGUAUUUCCCAAAGAUCUUCCUAGAUUGCCACCUGAUAGACAAGUGGAGUUUAGAAUAGACUUGUUACCAAGAACCAUGCCAAUAGCAAAAGCACUGUAUCGAUUAGCACCAACGGAGAUGAAGGAGAUGAUGAUGCAACUUCAGGAGUUAUUGGACAAAGGUUUCAUUAGACCUAGUUCAUCACCCUGAGGAGCUCCGGUGUUAUUCAUAAAGAAAAAGGAUGGGAGCAUGAGAAUGUGUAUAGAUUACAGACAGCUGAAUAAGGCAACAAUAAAGAAUAGAUACCUGUUGCCAAGGAUUGAUGACCUGUUUGAUCAAUUUCAAGGUUCGAGCUAUUUCUCGAUGAUCGAUCCUAGGUCAGGAUAUCAUCAGCUAAAGGUAAGAGAACAAGAUAUCGAGAAGACUGCUUUCAGAACAAGAUAUGGACACUAUGAGUUCUUGGUUAUGUCGUUUGGACUAACCAAUGCUCCAGCAGCGUUCAUGGAUUUAAUGAAUAGGGUUUGUAAACCAUUCCUUGAUAAAUCCGUGAUAGUGUUCAUAGAUGACAUUCUGAUUUACUCGAAAAGCCAAGAGGAGCAUGGCAGGCAUUUGCGAGAAAUGUUAGAAGUUUUAAAGAAGGAGAAGUUGUAUGCAAAGUUCUCCAAAUUUGACUUUUGGAUUCGAGAAGUCCAAUUCUUGGGUUGCGUGGUCAACCAGGAAGGGAUAAUAGUUGAUCCAAGCUAUGAUGAAGUGGGAACAACCGAAAAGUCCCACGGAGAUCCGAAGCUUUUUGGGAUUAGCCGGAUAUUACCGAAGGUUUAUCCAAGGCUUUUCUUUAAUCGCUACUCCAUUAACAACUUUGACCCACAAGGGAGCUACUUAUACUUGGAGAGAGAAACAUAAGGAAGCAUUCGAGAAGCUAAAGAAGAAGCUAUGUAAAGCACCGAUCCUUUCUCUACUUGAUGGAGUUGAAGACUUCGCUGUCUAUAGCGAUGCGUCUGGUGUUGGUUUGGGUUGUGUUUUGACCCAAAGGGAAAAGGUGAUAGCAUAUGCGUCUCGACAGCUGAAGGAGCAUGAGAAGAACUACCCCACUCAUGAUUUGGAGUUGGCAGCGGUAGUUUUCGCACUAAAAAUAUGGAGGCAUUACCUUUAUGGCACGAAGUGCAAGCUUUUCACUGAUCAUAAGAGUCUCCAAUAUCUCUUUAAUCAGAAAGAAUUGAAUAUAAGGCAACGAGCUGACUAGAGUUACUUAAGGACUGCGACUGUGAGAUACUUUACCACCCUGGUAAAGAAAAUGUUGUCGCUGAUGCGCUCAAUUGGAAAGUCAAUAUUAAGAGAAAGAGGCCAAGAACGUUGAGAAUAGAAGUUGUCUCGACAAUUGUGGAGAGUAUGAAGAAGGCUCAAGAAGAAGCUUCAGAAAAGAAUGAUCGAAAGGAGGAACGUUUGGGUAAAACGUUAGUGUUCGGUAUAAACAGUCAUGGACUGAAGGUGUUCCAUGUUCGGAUUUGGAUACCUAAGACAGGAGGAAUAAGAAAUAUUCUGAUGGAAGAAGCUCAUAAAGCCAUGUACUCGAUUCAUCCACGUAACACUAAAAUGUAUAGGUACCUGAAACCCUAUUACUGGUGGCCGAAGAUGAAGCUUGAUAUUGCAAAGUAUGUGGCCGAGUGUCUGACAUGUGCUAGAGUUAAGGCACAACAUCAGAAACCAUAUGGGAGUUUAGAACCAUUACAUGUACCCAUGGGUAAAUGGGAAGACAUUGCCAUGGAUUUUGUCACUAAACUGCCUAGAACAAAGAACGGUCACGACAUGAUUUGGGUGGUCGUUGAUCGCUUCACUAAGAGUGCGCACUUCAUAGCAGCCAAUGAGGAAUGGUCUAUGGAAAAGCUUGUGAAUUCUUACGUGAAGGAAACUGUGAGGCUUCACGGUGUUCCGUUAACGAUUGUAUCAGACCGCGACAGCCGUUUCACCUCAAGAUUUUGGAAAAGUCUACAAGAGGAAAUGGGUACCAAGUUGUGUUUAAGUACAACUUUCCAUCCGCAGAUUGAUGCUCAGAGCGAAAGAACGAUACAAACACUUGAAGAUAUGCUGAGAGCAUGUACCCUAGAAUUCCUAGGUAACUGGGAUGAACAUUUACCUCUGGUAUAAUUUUCCUAUAGUAAUAGUUUCCACUAGAGCAUAAAGAUGGCACCUUAUCAAGCUUUGUAUGGUCAGAAGUGUCGUACGCCAUCUUGUUGGCUUGAAGCUGGAGACAAACAGUUUACAGGACUUGAGAUGGUCCAUCAGACCGCUGAAAAGCUGAAAAUAAUCAGGGAAAGAAUGUUAGCCGCUCAGGAUCGUCAAAAGAGAUAUGCUGACAUAAAGCGAAGACCGAUGAUGUGACAACCCGAAAUUUUUAUCUUGUACAACCAUUCAAUUCAAUCAAAGUCAGACUUGUUUUUGCUAUCUUUUAGCACUGUUUAGAGUCUGUUUGAGUGUUCUAAGCCUAGUACCUUCAAGAGAUAAUGUUAGGAAGUAUACUCUAGAGUUCAGUGUGCAACAUUCAAGCCAUAAAACUCCAAGGAUUGGAGUUUACGGCCAUAAACUAGAGUUUACGGCCGUAAACUCAAUAGUAUAUAUUUGACACUUAGUCAUUUUUAUCACUUUUACCAUUUCAAGCCAAAGAACUCAUUCUCUCUCAAGUACCAUCCGAUUUUUCUCUUAGAUCUGCAAGAUUAUAAGUGUUUCUUCCCUUGAAUUGUUGAUUCCUUUCACUAUCUAGUCUGGAUCAUUGAUUUCAUCCAUGAAAUCUCUUCUUUUGGGUAGAUCUUCAAGUGUUCUUCAUUUCACCAAGAACAUACACUAGUGUAUUUGGACCUUAAUCACCCUAUCAAGCUUCUAUAUCGUAAGUACUCUUUCCUUAGCUUGAUAUAUGCUUGAAUCACAUGUUAAACACCUUGAAAACAUCAAGAAAUCAAGAACAAAAGGUGUUUACAUCCAAGAGCAUCGCCCUUGGUCGUAAACCCUAAUUAAUUGUGCAAUUGUGCCACCACUCCUUCCUAAGCCUUGGACUUGAGUCUAGAACACUUCAAGGAAGACCAUAAGACCUUAACACACAAUAUGGUACAAAAUACCAUGAGUUUACGGCCGUAAACUCAUUAGGUCCUAAACCCAUGGGCCGUAAACUCAUGGGGGUUUUACCAUUUGGGUCGUAAACUCCUAUGUAAGGCCAUACACCCCUUAUAUGCAACCCUAAGUGGUUUAACACUUCAUAACAAGUGUUUCCUAGUCCCUAAGGUUGUUCCAUUUCAUGAUUAGAUGUUAUAAACACUAAUUAGAUGCAUAUAUAUAUAUAUAUAUAUAUAUAUAUAUAUAUAUAUAUAUAUGUGUGUGUGUGUGUGUGUGUGUCAUUAUAUGCUAAAUAGGAUCCAUGUGUGUUCAAGUCUUCACUUGACACUUAGCAUCCUAUACCAAUCUUUCAUUCGCAUCACUCACUACAGGUGAGUUCAUACCCCUUAACUUAUCUUCUAAAUGAUUUUAAAUGCUUUUAGGGGGGGGGGGGAAUACAAGUAGAAAACAUGUAAGUUAUAUAAUCAAUCACAUAUGAUUUAUAACUGUGUUUCAAACAAAUGAUUUCACAUACAUCAAACAAUGUUCCAAACAAAGGAUUUCAUAUACUUCAAACUGUCUUAUCAAACAAACUGAUUUUAAAUCGUUUUAUAAACUGACAUCAAGUCGUUAUUGUUUAUUGUUAAAACUCUUUAAAUGCAUUACAAAACCUCUUUUAAACUUAUAUAUAUUGUCAAAAGCAUGUCUAUAUAUGUAUAGUUAUAUAAAUAGUGUUUAAAGGACUUAGGACUGCAGACUCGCCUUAUUUUCUUUUCCUUGUUUGGAUGUGGACUUAGGGUAUCGGUUAUUUGUCCGAAGGUCGUCUAAAUAUUAGAUAUAUAUUAUGUUUACAUAUGUAGAUAUAAAAGUACUAUCAAUCAGUUCAGUACCUUUGUGUAGCAAAGGUAUACAUUCAUUCAUUUAUUUAGUUACAUAAAUCACUAGUAAACUAUAAUAGGUAUAGUUUAGGAGAAUACUAUCAUAUACAAAUACUAUAACAGAGAAUACUAUAACAGAGAAUACUAGACAGAGAAUACUAUACAAAGGAUAAUAUACAGAGAAUACUAUACAUAAAAUACUAUUACUAUAACUAGUAUACUAUAACAAGGCUCAGAGAUAACACAAUGUGAGAUACCACUUCAUGACACAGCGACCAUUUCGUUGUGUCACGUUUUGUAACCAGAAUCUCCUGGAGGGAGAGCGUGAGUUUGCAUAUAGCUCUAUACUGGAUUGACUAUCCUACACCUUUGGUAUUCGCUACAGUGGGACUUGCAAGUCUACGGGUGCCAAAUGUUAUUUCUUCCGACAUCUUUCAUCGUCGUGUUAUAGUCGGUUUAGUAUGGUAACAGUCUUAUCACAUUUUUCCUUGAUUAAACCAUUGGUUAUAAGGUAGCUAUUACUAUAGUAGUUAAUACAAAUAAUGUUGCAGUACACAUAAACUUUCCCAUUAUAUUCAAAUUGUGAUCUUCUCACAUAAAGGGUAAUAUGAAACUAUAUUUUGGUAAUGAUAGUCAUACUUGGGAAAACAUCCACUUUUACAGAGAAACAAACAUACAAAACAGUCGGGUCUUGGUAGAAGACUACUUUUUAUACUAGUAGACAAUAUAGGAUUUUCUAGGAGUUUUCAAACAGAUACAAACAUUUACAUUGAACAUUUACAAACGUUUUCUUCAAACUUAGACAAACAUUGACACUAAAUACUUAUGAACUCACCAACUUAAAUGUUGAUCUAUGCUUUCAAAAUAACUUGUAUUCUCAGGUCACCAGUAGACAGGUACAGAUGACUAGGUUUUGAGAAGACGGAGAAUGUCCAAGACUCGUCUUUUAUUUUGAUUAUUCAUUUUUGGUGUCUUAUUACUAUCAAAGAACACACUUGUAUCAAAUUAUAAUAUUAAUGCAGUGGAUGAUGUUGUUGCUUGUUUACUACUUUGCAUUAUUAUGAUAUUGUACAUGACGUCCUCCGCCCUCGAACAUUUUCGCCAUCCCGGUUUUGGGGUGUGACAGAUGACUUUUGAAGUUGGAGAUUCGGUUUUGCUUAAAGUCUCGUCGUGGAAGGGACCUAUAAGAUUUGGUAAAAGGGGAAAGUUGAGUCCAAGGUUUAUUGGACCGUUUAAAGCUCUUCAGAGGAUAGGGAACCAAGAUUACAAGCUCGAAUUACCCGAAGAACUGGAAGGUAUUCAUAACACUUUCCAUGUGUGUUAUUUGAGGAAGUUCACGGGAGAAGUUCCUGACAUAAUUCUAAUUUUUGAAUUAAAAUUGGAUGAAAACAAGAGGUUAAUUGAAGAACCUGAGGCAAUCGCUGACCGAAAGACUAAGAAAUUGCGACGCAAGAUGGUCGAAUUAGUGCUUAUCCGUUGGAAGCAUACUAGUGGGCCAAAUCUCACCUGGGAAACGGAGAGUGACAUGUUGAGUCGCUAUCCGCAUUUGUAUGUUGAUGUGUGAUUCUAGGGACGGAAUCAUCCUAAGGGGGGAGAGAAUCGUAACGCCUGCGUUUCCAGGCUAGGCAUUAUUGGUGAUGUAAUAGUCUAGGUUAACCUUGUAACUCAUCUUGAAAUAAUAAAAUUGUAUCAUUGGAAUAUUAUGUGUUUUGUGCUUAAUUGUGUGACUUAAUUAAAUUAAGGAUAAAAUAAGCGUCAAAAUGAAAUGUUAGAUAACCUCAAUAUCUAUAAAGGAAGUUGUAGUGGUUGUGACGAGGUUUCCGAUUAUAUAUAGAAUGCCGAAAUCCGAGUUACAACGAAGAAGUUAUGACCUGUCGAAGUUUCGCGACAGAACCGGCACGACGCUGAAUGACGUAAAAUAUGAAUUUAAGAUACAACGAUAUCUAGCAUUAAUUAUCUGCAUGAAAUUCGUAGAAUAUGUUAAACUGAGAGCGUGCAUAAAAAGAACCCCAAAUCUGACUUCGUAUGAGGAAAUUAUGAUUUUCCGAAGUUUCAACUUAGCAGUAUGCAACUCAAAGUUUGAUUUUGAGAUCAAGUGAGUUACAACCGAAACAAUCUAAACGAGAAUCGAAGAUCUCGUUGAUAGCAGUGCAACGGUAAAAAGACAGACGAAAAUGAACAUCAGACAAAGAAGUUAUGAAUUUCUAACGGAGUUUUCCCGUCCCGGCCUACUAAAAAUAAUAUAUUAAAAAUAAAGUCAAAAUUAGCCAACAGUGUCUAAACGAGAGUUGUAGAGCAUAAUCUCAUCUACGCGUGGAUAUAAUGAACAUCGAAAACGGAGCUCGUAUGCAAAAGAUAUGAAUUUCUGAAGUUUGGGGCAUGAAACCCGACCCUGUGUCAGGGUUCACGAUGUGAACACUGUGUUCACGACGUGAAUCCAGAAAUUUGACCCUUCCGGAGCUAGCAGACCCAAGUGGCUUGACGACCAACGCGACGAUCGAGCUCAUGAAGUGAGCUCUUGAAACUCACGACAUGAACCCAGAAAAUUGGCCCUAUAAAUAGAAAUCGAAGGACAGCCGAUUUAGGUUGCUACUUUCUUACUCUCCCACUCCCGAUCACAAUCUCCUUUCUCUCUCUCUCUCUCUCUCUCUUGUUGGAACACCUCUGAUCUCAACCCUCACCAACAUGCUCUUUGUUUCUUCUCCGACAAUGGAAACAUAACUGUAAAGCCCGGGUUUCCAGGCUAGGCAUUAUUGGUGAUGUAAUAGUCUAGGUUAACCUUAUAACUCAUCUUGAAAUAAUAAAAUUGUAUUAUUGGAAUAUUAUGAGUUUUAUGCUUAAUUGAAUUAAGGAUAAAAUAAUUGUCAAAGUGAAAUGUUAUAUAAACUCAAUAUCUAUGAAGGAAGUUGUAGUGGAUGUGACGAGGUUUCCAAAUAUAUAUAGAAUGCCAAAAUCUGAGUUAUAACGAAGAAGUUUCGCGACAGAACCGACACGACGUUGAAUGACGUAAAAUAUGAAUCUAGCAUUAGUGAUCUAAAUGAAAGUCGUAGAAUAUGUUAAACCGAGAGUGUGCGUAAAAAGAACCCCAAAUCUGACUUCGUAUGAGGAAGUUAUGAUUUUCCGAAGUUUCGACUUAGCAGUAUGCAGCCCGAAUUUUGAUUUUAGAUCAUGUGAGUUCUAGCCGAAACAAUCUAAACGAGAAUCAAAUAUCUCGUUGAUAGUAGUGCAACGGUAAAAAGACAGACAAAAACGGACAUCAGACGAAGAAGUUACGAAUUUCUAACGGAGUUUUCUUGUCCCGGCCUACUAAAAAUAAUAUAUUAAAAAUAAAGUCAGAAUUAGCCAACAGAGUCUAAAUGAGAGUUGUAGAGCAUAAUCUCACCUACGCGUAGAUAUAAAGAACGUCGAAAACGGAGCUGGUAUUCGAAAGAUAUGAGUUUCUGAAUCUCGGGGCACGAAACCCGACCCUGUGUCAGGGUUCACGGCAUAAACAUUGUGUUCACGACGUGAAUCCAGAAAUUUGACCCUUCCGGAGCUAGCAGACCCAAGUGGCUUGACGACAAACGCGACGAUCGAGCUCAUGACGUGAGCACUUGAAACUCAUGACAUGAACCCAGAAAAUUGGCCCUAUAAAUAGAAAUCAAAGGACAGCAGAUUUAGGUUGCUACUUUCUUACCCUUCCACUCCCGACACUCUCUCUAAGCCCUAUUUUAAGCCUCUGAUGCCCCGGUAUCAUCCCGAGACCCAAAGCGAGCCCCGAAGCUCCGAAGAUCCCGAGAAGAAAAGAGUUUCUGAGCCGAAGCGCUGCCCGCGAGAAGUCUGGUGUGUGAAGAUAUCCCGAAUUCAUCGAAGAAUACUACUUGAAGAGCCGUAGCGCUGUCCGAGCAUCGUCUUAACAAGUGAGUAUGUAGUUACCUUCUUCUAACAUAUAAAUACAAAUUAUUUUCUAUGAAAUACGUGAUACAUGUUUAUAUAUUGUUGUUUAUUUGAAGUGAGUGUAUAUUCCUUUCUUCUAUCUCAUAAAUACAAGUAUUCUCUAUAAAAAUACGUGUUAUGUGUAGUUGUGUUGUUUUGUUUAAUUGAGAUGAUGUUGAAAGAAUGUUUUAUACAUGUUUAUAAUGAUUUAAUAUAUAUAUAUAUAUAUAUAUAUAUAUAUAUAUAUAUCAUUUNAUGACGACCAUAGACUUUUCUAGACAGUCCUGUGGAAGGCUAGCAGGUCGCCACCUUUAGGUGUUUGUGAACUUAGUGUUCAGUUGUAUACUCCAUCCCCUACAUGGUUGCCUUAUUUGACAUAUAUUGCUGGAAAACCCCCGAAGCAUGUGUUGUCACCCCCGAUGAAUAUUCUUAGACUAGGUCCCUUGUGAAAGGUGUUUAGGGACGUAAAGUGAGAAUAACGGGAAUGGGUAAUUGGGUUAUUGUUGAUUGAUGAAAUUAAAUUAAUUAUUUAUGGUGGGUUGAAAACUCUAUAUGCUCACCAGGCUCCCAAGCUUGACCCACUCAGUUUUCUUUGUAUUACAGGUAGUGGCACCAGAGCAUAAGUUGGAUGAUUUGUCAGGAUAUUUUGGAUUAUAGACCUGUUGUUUUAAAUAAUUGUUGUAAGGUCUGUAUUGUAAUGUUUAUGCUUUUGGUAUGCAUCGGAACAUGACAUCCCGAGUUUUGUUAUAUAAUGAAAAUACAUUUCUUAUAGAAAUGUUUUGGUAAAUCUUAUUUUAUCAUAUUUCGUUUGGGGAACAAAUUCCGCAACUCUUUUAAUCAAAGGAUUGCUCUGAAAUUAUUUUAAAAUCAUAAAUUAAACCGGUCUUUUCUGGCCAUGAUUUUGAGGAUGUCACAAUAUCUGCAAAUGAGGGUUUGCUUCGAGCUAGGUUUUGCUGAGGAACAAUGAAGUCAGAGGAGAAGAUGAAAGGCGGAGAGAGGCAAUAUGUUUGCUUCUGACGGUGGUAUCCCACAAACCGGCUUCCAGAUCUGGACAGAGGAGGAUCUGGGUGGAGGAGGAUCUGAAUCGUCGCCACCAGAUCUGUCGAUUCAGGCUUUGUAAGGAUGCAUUUCAGAUUCUCGGAGGUGGCUUCGUCUAGAAAACCUUAAGAUCGACGACGUUCCAGUUCUGUAAACGUCCCCGUCUUCACAAAUCAACGAUAGCUUCGUCUGGAAACGAUCCUUCUCCGACGAGUCUCGUCUCUCUCAAAUCCGACGACCAGUUAGGGUUUUACGAUUCGACAAGUUAGGUUUUCAGAUCACUGACGUCCUUCUUCUUCACUGAUUAUCCGAAUCCAUAUGAGAUAAGGUGGCAGCGCUAGAGUUUCGGAAGUUGGUGAUGGUUUUUGUCAAAAAUCGGGUUUAUGAAUAUGGUUUUCAGUGGAGAAGACGAACCCAAAAAGUGACAAAAGGGUCCCCGGUGGUGGGAAUCAAUUAGGAUUUGUUGUAGGUGAUGGCGACUUUCAGAUUUGUUGGAGGUUGCUGGUGACAGAGAUGAUGGGGGCUGAAGGUGGGGCUGAAGGCGGUGGCGCCAAUGACGAAGACGGUGGUGGCGUCAACAAUGAUUUUGGAUGACGGUGCUUCCGUCGGUGACACCGGUUUCCAGCGAUGGCACCUAUUUAUGGGCUUUAUGAAAUGUUCUUGAGAGCCAUGAAGAACAAACGAAGAGGGAAGGAUAAAUAUUUGGGAAGAGGAGAGAGAGAGAGAGAGAGAGAGAGAGAGAGAGAGAGAGAUUUAUUUUCUUGUUUUUUAGAGAGAGAUAGAGAGAUUUAUUUUUAUUUUUAUUGUUUUUUUAAUCCGAAAAUCAAGAAAACAAAUAAGAAAAUAGAUAAAAUAUAUUAACAGGGGUAGAUACGUCAUUUUGAAAAAAAUCAGAACAGAUUGGACUAAAGACACAACAAAAUGAAAGUUUUGGACCACUGUUGCUAGUCCAAACCUUUUUGAACCAAAGUGAUAAUUUUCGACAUGCCACAAGGACCAUUUGUGCAGUUUUGUCUAAUUUAAAUGCUAUGUAUUUUUACGUUUUACAUAUUAUGUUCUAUUAUGUAAUUUCGAGAAGAUUUGAUUGAUUAUAUGUAUUUUGGUUUUAUAAAAAAACCUUGAAAAAAAUACAAAAAAAAUGAUAACAUUGAAAUUAAUGAGUGAUAUAACAUUUUUUUAACAUUGCGAUCAUAUUCUCAAUUGGUGUUAUGACACGACAAGUGAUGUGACAUGUGAGGUGACAGUGACACUAAAAUAGUGUUAGGAAAAUAGACUUAUUAGGGUACUUAACUUUUCGGUUUGUUCACAUCUGGGUAACUAUUUUUUUGUACACAUCUAGAUAACGAACUUUUUCGAAGUGUUCACAUAUGACCAUUAUGACUGGCUUUACAUCCGGUCAUAACCGGUCAUAAUAGGUAUAUGUGAACACUUCUAAAAUGUUCGUUACCUAGAUGUGUACAAAAAAAUAUAGUUAGCUGUUUUUUUACACAUCUAGGUAACAAAGUUUUUGGAAGUGCUCACAUAUGACUGGUUAUGACCGGAUAUACCCAGAUGUGUACCAAAAAAAUAGUUAUCCAGAUGUGAACAUACCGAAAAGGUAAGAGUAAAUUACACGAAUUGUCCCUGUGGUUUAGGUAAUUUGUGUGUUUGGUCCCUAACUUAUUUUUGUAACUCGGAUGAUCCCUACUAUUUAUUUUUGUUGUGCGUUUGGUCUCUGUCUUACCUAAAAAGACUACUGUGCCAUUUUUAAUUUAUUUUUUAAUUAACUCCCUUAACUCGGAUGAUCUAUACUGUUUAUUUUCUUAUUUAUGUGUACACUUCCUAUAUUUCCUUUCUGUCUGUAGUGACAUCGACGUCUUCACAAAAAAAAUAGUUGAGGAAAUAGAAGAGAUUGUGAAGAUGUCGAUGUCACUAAAGAUGAAAAGAAAAUUGAAGUUGAGGAGGAUGAGAUAUAGGAUGGUGACUGAUGGGACCCAAAUUAAAUUUCUCAAAUAUGGUUUUAUGUUUAGGAUGAGGAAAUACAUAUAUGUAGGGUUUAUUAAUUUUUUCUAAAUAUAUAAAAACUAAAUACAAAAAUAAGAAAAUUAAUUAAAAAUAAAUUAAAAAGGGCACAAUAGUCUUUUUAGGUAAGACAUGGACCAAACACACAACAAAAAUAAACAGUAGAGAUUAUCUGAGUUAAAAAAUAAGUUAUGGACCAAACACAAAAAUUACCCAAAGCACAUGGACCAUUCGUGUAAUUUACUUUUACCUUUUCGUUAUUUUCACACUUAGGUAACUAUUUUUUUGUACACAUCUAGAUAACUAUUUUUCUUGUACACAUUUGGAUAACAAAGUUUUUGGAAGUGUUCACAUAUGACCAUUAUGACUGGAUGUAACAUUUUGCAGUCGUUCAUAAUGGUCAUAUAUGAACACUUUCAUAAAGUUUGUUACCUAGAUGUGUACAAUAAAAAAAUAAUUACUCAGAUGUGAACAAACCGAAAAGUUAAUUACCUUAAUAAGUCUAUUUUCAAACAGUGUUAGAAUAUAUUGUAAAUACCCAAUGUUAUUUUAUAUAUAUAUAUAUAUAUAUAUAUAUAUAUACACACACACACACACAUGAUGUGACCUCGAGCUCUGCCUUGAUCGUUUUCCGGGAUGAACGACUCUGGUGAUCCUGCGUGGUCACAACAAGAGAGGCCGUCAAUCAUUUCCUUGGAAGAGCUUCUAAAGACACUCCGACGGUCAAGUCAGUGUGGUGUUUCUAGGGUUUAGUGAGUUAGGAUUUAGGUUAUGUUUAGUGGUAUAUACUAAUUUAUUUUCGAAUUUAUUGUAGUUAACUGUUUGUUGAGUAAAAAAACCAGCUAUCAUAUCUUAUAAAUUAAAUUGUAAAUUAUGUUUCUGAUAAAUUAUUUGAGUAAAUUGUGACAUGAAUGGUCCCUAUAGUUUGAGGUAAUUUGCACGUUUGGUUCUUAACUUACUUUUUUUAACUCGGAAGGUCGUUAUAGUUUAUUUUUGUUGUGCGUUUGGACCAUGUCUUACGUAAACAAACUAUUUUGCCUUUGAUUUUUUAAUUUAUUUAAAUAAGAUGGGUAGAUAAGGUAAGGUGAUGUGGAAGUGGGGUUAAGUGUGUGUUUAUUUAAAUAAAUUAAAAGAUCAAUGACGAAGUAAUAUUUUUAGGUAAGAAAUGACCAAACACACAACAAAAACAAACAGUAGGGACCCUCCGAGUUAAAAAAAUAAGUUAGAGAACAAACAUGCAAAUUAUCCCAAACCGUAACAACCAUUCGUGUAAAUUACUCAAAUUAUUUUUAAGCAAUUUAUUUAUAAAAUAACUUUAAACUAAAAUCUAUCCUUUCAAAUAUUAAGUCAAAUAUGUCUUUAAACAAAAAAGCUAACCCUCAUGGACUAGUGGCUACAAGGCUAACCAAUAACUUAACAAUGUCGACUUUCUUAUAAGCCACGUUCGGAUGAACCCUAAGAAAAGAACAUGAUAGGAUAGACGGGCAACGGUUUGCGUGACUGCGAAGUAACACGUUGCUAAAAAGAUAAAGUAACAUUUUAUGGACGUCAUGUUGAGAUAAUUAACAUUUGUUAAAAGUAACCUAUAAUUUCCUAUUAUUAAUGAGAAAAAAACUUUACAGUUUAAGGAAAUCCACAAUGCAUUAAAAUUAUUAGAGUUUAAUGAAUUGUCAUAUUAUUAUUUUACUCAUUAUAUAAUUCUAUAUUAUUUUUCCUACAAUACAUUAAACUCAAUAGAGUUCAAUAGAAUAUAUAUUUAAUAGUUAAAAUGAUUUUUUUCCCAUUGAAGAGUUCAAUGACCAUUAAACUCCAUAUCCAUUGAAUGUCAACAUAGCUUCCCAUAAUGAUAGAGUUUAAUCCAUUAAAUGUCAAUUACGCAUGUCACCUCAUUCAACUAUCUUAUUAAACUAUGCAUUGUGGAUACUCUAAAUAAAUGAUAAAAAAUCAUGUCUAUUAAUUUUUCGGUUACUAGAUAAUAAUAAUAAAAAAAAAAGCAAAGACGGAGAGUAAACCGAACCCUAACUUUUGUUUAUAAAAUAUUAUUUUUUUUUACUCUUUUUCCUAUUUAUCUUCUUACAAAUAUAAAAUAAUAAUAAGUGUCGAAAAUAUUAUUUAUUUAUCAAAAUAUGACAAUUCUCAUCAUUUUAUAUAGAUAAGGAGAUAAAUAAGAAGAAUAUGAGUUUCAUAUGUUGUGUGAUUAGAAUAAUAAAAGAGAAAAACUGAUGUAAUUGGGAUGUUCCUUGUUCAGAAUAUACUAAAUUGUCCAAUUGGAAAACUUAGAUAUGAUUAUUUAGUUUGAAUAUUUGGAUUUUUGGAUGAGUUUUCAAUAAAACCGAAUUAUUAGUUUAAAUUUCGGAUCGGAUACAUUUUAAAACUUAAAAUCGACUUGGUAGUUUGAUAAUUAAAAGGGAUACCUCGCCAGUAUGGGAUGAUUUGAAUAUAUAUUAACAAAAUAAAGUUAUUAGAGGAAGAUAUACAUAGAAUAAUUUACAAGAUACUAAAAUCAACUAUUUAAUGAAAAUGAUUAUGUUGUUUUAUUCCUAAAACCCCCGUAGGCGAGAUGGUGGUGGUUAAACUAUAUAUAUGUAUUUUAUACUUUGAGAUCUACACUGGAUGAAAGAUCUGAACUUCUUUCUUUUUAGAUCUAAACUUUCUUUUCAGAUCUAGACUGUAUAUGUAUUUUAUGCUUUGAAAGUUACGUUAGAUGAAAGAUUUAAACUUUGUUUUUCAGAUCUAGACCUUUUUCUUUAGAUUUGAACCAUAUGUAUAUUUUCUUUCCAGAUCUAAACUUUUUCUUCAGAUCUGAACCACAUAUGUAUUUUCUUUACAAAUCUAAACUUUUUCUUCAGAUCUGAACUGUAUAUGUAUUUUAUAUCUACGCAUAUGUUGGAUAGAACAUGGGUAGAUGAAAUAGUUGGUGUGUGAUGAGAAAUGAGUUGGAGGAUGAGAUGAAAAAGUGAUAUAAACCAUUAGAUGAGGGUGAGGGGUGAAAAUGAGAGAAACCAUUACCCAAAAGAUGGCCUCGUCAUCUAGCAGAAUAUGGAUGACAACCAUGGACUAUUCUAGACGGUCUGGGGAACACUAGCAGGCUCACUACAUGUAUGUGUUGUGAACAAUAUGUUCACUCGAUGUACUCUAAAAACUCAUUGACAUGUAUUGCAGGUGCACUCCUGCAAAUAAUAUAGUCGAUAAAUGAGAGCUAUGGACUUAGCACCCGUUGGAUGAACCCUGGAAACUAUGGAUUUAGUGCCUAUUGUAUAAACCCUGGCGACGAUGGACUUCGUGCCUAUUCCUUAGGAAAAGCCUUAGGAAUGAGUGAUAGAUGAUUCUUAAGAAAAUGGGGAUGGGUAAUUGGGUGAAUUGUUUGAUGUGAAACAUAAUAACUUUAUUAUUAUAGGUUGAAAACCCUGUAUACUCACCAGGUUUCCCAACCUAACCCACUCAUUUUAUUUGUAUCACAGGUGUCGAUAUAAAGCUACACUACACCGAGAGAUUAAAGAGAUGUAGAUCACUAGUGUAAUGAAUGUAAGUUAUGUUUAUGCUUACAUUUCUGUAUUGACGUUGACAUCCCAAAGUUUUAAAAUGAAUAAGAUACAUUUCCUCGGAAAUGCUCUGAUAACAUAUUUAUCAUGUUUUUCUGGGAAAAAAAAUUCCGCAACACUUUUCUUUAAAACGUUACUCUGAUUUUAUUAUAAAGCAUAAACAAAAUCGGUAUUUUCUGGCUGCAAAAAAUAAGGAUGUCACAGAAUUCUAGGUCGGGGAUAUGGUCCUCCUGAAGGUGUCACCUUGGAAAGGUGUCACCCACUUCAGGAAGCGGGGCAAGUUGGGUUCUAAGUACAUUGGUCCUUUCAAGGUUGCAGGCCGGGUAGGCAAGGUGGCAUAUAGGCUGGAUCUGCCAGGCAAGCUUAAUCAGAUCCACAAUACCUUUCAUGUCUCCCAGAUGUGGAAGUGCCUGGUAGAUGACUUCGCGAUGGUACCUCUAGAGGAUAUUCAGGUGGAUGACAGCCUGAACUACAUCGAGCGGCCGGUAGCCAUCCUCGACAGGAAGACAAAGGACCUAAGGAACAAGAAGGUCGAGUUGGUGAAGGCGCAAUGGCAGCACCGCAAGGGCUCGGAAUGGACCAGGGAACCAGAGGACGAGAUGAGGGAGCACUAACCCGAGCUAUUUCCAGAUGCAGCAGACUUCGAGGACGAAGUCUAGAAUAAGUGAGGGAGAUUUGUAACGCCUGGUUUCUGGUAUGUAUUUUAAUAAGGAAUUAUUCAUUUUUGCAAAGGGACUCGACGAUUUGGAGGUUCCAAACUCGUCGAGUAGGAAUUAGAUUUUUGGAUGUGGGACUUGAAGGCCAGAUCUAUGUUUUGGAUGCAUUAAGCCCGACAAAAAAUCGGUUGUAUGGAAUUAGACUUUGGGGACUUGACGAGUCAUUCUUAGGACUCGUCGAGUUGGGUCGUGUUUCCCCAACCUUUUAUGUUACUGAACAAACUUGUUGAGUCUGGAAGAGGACUCGACUAGUUGGACGUGUUUAUGGACUUAAGGAUCAAAGAACUCCACAAGUCCAAGGACGAACUUGGCGAGUUGAGAGCAAAAAGUCCCAACUGAUAUGAAGAGGAACUCGACAAGUUCAAGGAUGAACUCAGCGAGUUAUGAGUGAAAUACCCCGAAUCUGUAUGAAAAAGAACUCGAUGAGUCCAAGGAAGGACUCGACGAGUUGAAACGGAAAGUCCCAAAUCUGUCAUGAGAAACUCGACGAGUAGAUGGUAACUUGACGAGUUAGAUCACGAGUUCGAGAUUCUCUGAAGCGUGGAACUCGAGGAGUUUACGAACCAACUCGGCGAGUUGAGUCAGCCAUAAUGUUGACUUGGACCAGAAGGUUGACUUUGACUAGAGUGUUGACCUUUGAAUUGACCAUUGACCAGAGUUGACCCUUAAAGCGGUUAUAAGUUUGAUAUAGUAAUUAAAGAGAUGUUAUGUGUAGGAGUUCGAGGAGAGUUGGUCCCAGCACCGAGGACAAUUCAGCUGCUUCACGACAUUGAGUUGAGUUACCUUCCAGUAGAAGUGGGUCGAAGGCACCAAUGUCGGCCCACUAGUAAGAGUUAUAGUAGAGAUCAUUGUCUUUGUGAUAAUUAUUUGGUAUGUCAUACGUUAUGUGCUAGUAUGCCAUGAUGUUAUGGGAUAAUGGUAGGAGGGGUAGGAUAGACCCUAGUACCGGUCGAUAGGGCCGAAGGGGUAUGCCAACACCCGGAUAAGCUAGGCAGUAUAUGACUUAUAUGUUGACCCCAACUCGUCGAGUGCAUCCAAAAACUCGUCGAGUUCCUUCAGAGUCCAUAUAACAUAAAUCCCAAGUCAACUCGCCGAGUUACCUGAGUAACUCGUCGAGUUCCUUAAUGUCCAAAAGACCGAAAACUCAUGUCGACCGAAAACUCUAAUCCCUCACCGAAAUCACUCUGAAUACCGAAAACGGGUAAACCCUACCCAACUCGUCGAGUUAGCUAAGCAACUCGUCGAGUGCCUUCAGUCCUUUUUGUGUUCAGUCCUUUCCAGUGGAAUCCAUGGUUUCAAGUACAGAUCCAACCUCUUAUGGUGUAGUUACCACGUAAAUUUGCAAAUUUUACGUGCAUGCAAGGCCUCCAUAGGCUAAAACACUAAAACCAAGGUUUCUACAAGGUUUAGUGCAUUGAAAAGAGCCUAAAAUGGAUAAAAUGGACAACUUUAUGUCCAUGAGGGUCUAGAGGUGUUUAGAUCUGGAAUCAUAUCCUCAUGACAAGUCCAAAUCCGAGUAUAACAUCAUUUUGCCCCAAAAGUGACCAUAUUCUUUCCUAAAAUGAGAUCGAAACAAAUAAAGGUCAAGGUAGCAACUUUAUACCUCAAGAUGGUUGCUAAUACAGAUUAGAUGUUGGAUCUACUGCUCCUCUCCCUACUCCACCUUCUUCAAGAUUCAAAGUCCUUCACAGCCACACCAAAAUCACUCACCAAGGCUCACACACACACACACUUAAGAAGGUAUAAGGCUCAAACUAGGGUUUCUCUGGGUAGUUAGGACGGUGAGGGAGGCCACCAAUGGUCCAUAAGUUCUUUCAAUAGGGUGCAAACCCCUGAAAAUUAGGGUUUUCCUUUACAGUGCCUACUCGUCGAUUUGGGGCCUUUCAACUCGUCAAGUAGGUUCUAAGUCCCGCGUCCUCAUAAAUGAUCUCUACUCAACGAGUUGGAGCUCCGCAACUCGUCGAGUUCCAACCUAAAACCCUAAAAUUCUGAAAGUAAUUCGAUACCCGAAACUAGUGUUACAUUAUGAUUUUCAGCCUCAUCAACCCAUAAAAGAAAUCCACGCCUAGGUCCUUGCAGAUUUCAAUAAUCAUCAUUUACCAAAAAAAAAACCCAAAUGUUGUCGAUGUUAGAAUAAGAAUGGAGUAAAAUAUUUGGGCAAGCAUAGUACUCUCUACUAGGAUUCCUCUUAGUAGUGGAUGUCCUUAUGAUUGCCAUGCUUCCAUAAUCGCACAUCACCAUCUUUUCUUGUUGGAUGAGAAGAAGUAAGAAGGAGAUAAAGAUCUUAUGUAGAAGAAGAAACAGAGAAAGUGAAGGAAGAAGAACUAGUUAAAUGGACAAGAACUAGUCAAAUCCAAGAAUAGAAAGCAUGGACUGGUCAAAUGGGUUUUAGAUGGCCGACUGACCCCUUCAAUUUUUACAAAAGGACCUAUGCGACCCAACAAAGCCAACUUUGUUCCCUUAAAACAUGGGAAAUAACAUAAGGGACUGAAUGGGGAAAUGUGAAAUACAUUGUAGGGCUACAAUUUCAUUUUCCCUUAGAAUGUGAUACAAUUAUUAAUAUACUUAAUUACAUUAAAAAGUCUAGUUCUUUUCCAAAUGUAUAUGUUACUUAUAAGGUUAUGUUAAACUAUUCCUGUAACAGUUGUCUCUGUAGAAAAAAUAUUUUUCUUAAUUAAAUUUGUUAAAAAAUACUUAAGAUCUAUAAUAUUAAAAGAAAGAUUAAAAAUAUUAGCUAUUUUGUGAAUUGAAAUACAUUUAGCAAAAAAAAAAAUUGAUUAUGAAAAUUUUAUUAACGAAUCUGCAUCUAAAAAGUUAGAAAAAUUAACUUAUGAGAUUUUUAUCAAAAAAUGUGCAUCUAAAAAGGAUAGCAAAAUGAAUUUAAUGUCUUAAAUAAUAAUAAUAAUAAUAAUAAUAAUAAUAAUAAUAAUAAUAAUAAUAACAACAACAACAACUAGAAAUGAGGCCUGUGCGUUGCACGGGUUGAAUAUUUUUAUUGAUGUUUGGUGGGUUAUGAAAGUAGGAUGUUAUAAUGUCAUUUAAAUAUAAAACAACCAGAUAGAUCAAAUACAGUUUCGUCUCUUAAUAGUGGCCAAUGAGCAAUGGGGAUUCCCACCUUUUCUAUUGUUGGAGAUGAUCCUGAAAAAACAAAAAAACUUCAACAUUGACUUUCAAACUUAUAAUAAAUAAUAAUUAAAUAUUUGAAAUUGUCUGUUAUUUGUAAUUAAUUUUUGUAAUAACAAAAAAAAUGUCACAACUUUAUAUAAAAACAAAAUUGUAUCCGGAAAAAAGGAAAACCAUGAAUGAAAAGUAGAAAAUAAAGAAAAAGAAAGAAAAAUAUUUACGUCAAAGACAUACCGGAAAUAGUAUUCCUAUGCUCAUAUUCACCUGAAAUAAUUAUAUAUAGAUAUAAGAAGUAAUGAUUAUUAACACCACAUAAAAUUAUUGCAUAAUAAACGAUUAAAAAAAACUCACACGGUCCAUAUUGCAUAGCAGAAAUGCAGAAAAGCAAAUAACUACUAUCACCCAACGCUUUGAAAACCGAUUUGUUUCUUGUAUUACUCCAACUAAAACAUCAUAGCCUCACUUGCUCCUCCUUCUGAUGAUACUACAAUUGAAUCCAAAUCUGUUCCUGUCACAUCAUACUCCUCAGAUAGUAUCAUUUAUGAUGUGACAGUGUAUUCAAAUCUGUUCCUUCUGAUGAUACUAUAAAUCUGUCGUGGUUGCAGGGGCUGCCUAUUAAAUAUACUGUUAUGUUUUAGCUGUUUCGGUUUAAUCCGAUUGCAUCUUGCAAUUCAUUUAUGAUUUCUGAUUUGGAACUUUUUGCUUUCUUGUGGUAUCAUUGAAAGAUGAACACCAUGGGAAGAUAUGAAUUCCAAUUCCGGUCAUAUCCAUUGACGUAAAAANNNNNNNNNNNNNNNNNNNNNNNNNNNNNNNNNNNNNNNNNNNNNNNNNNNNNNNNNNNNNNNNNNNNNNNNNNNNNNNNNNNNNNNNNNNNNNNNNNNNNNNNNNNNNNNNNNNNNNNNNNNNNNNNNNNNNNNNNNNNNNNNNNNNNNNNNNNNNNNNNNNNNNNNNNNNNNNNNNNNNNNNNNNNNNNNNNNNNNNNNNNNNNNNNNNNNNNNNNNNNNNNNNNNNNNNNNNNNNNNNNNNNNNNNNNNNNNNNNNNNNNNNNNNNNNNNNNNNNNNNNNNNNNNNNNNNNNNNNNNNNNNNNNNNNNNNNNNNNNNNNNNNNNNNNNNNNNNNNNNNNNNNNNNNNNNNNNNNNNNNNNNNNNNNNNNNNNNNNNNNNNNNNNNNNNNNNNNNNNNNNNNNNNNNNNNNNNNNNNNNNNNNNNNNNNNNNNNNNNNNNNNNNNNNNNNNNNNNNNNNNNNNNNNNNNNNNNNNNNNNNNNNNNNNNNNNNNNNNNNNNNNNNNNNNNNNNNNNNNNNNNNNNNNNNNNNNNNNNNNNNNNNNNNNNNNNNNNNNNNNNNNNNNNNNNNNNNNNNNNNNNNNNNNNNNNNNNNNNNNNNNNNNNNNNNNNNNNNNNNNNNNNNNNNNNNNNNNNNNNNNNNNNNNNNNNNNNNNNNNNNNNNNNNNNNNNNNNNNNNNNNNNNNNNNNNNNNNNNNNNNNNNNNNNNNNNNNNNNNNNNNNNNNNNNNNNNNNNNNNNNNNNNNNNNNNNNNNNNNNNNNNNNNNNNNNNNNNNNNNNNNNNNNNNNNNNNNNNNNNNNNNNNNNNNNNNNNNNNNNNNNNNNNNNNNNNNNNNNNNNNNNNNNNNNNNNNNNNNNNNNNNNNNNNNNNNNNNNNNNNNNNNNNNNNNNNNNNNNNNNNNNNNNNNNNNNNNNNNNNNNNNNNNNNNNNNNNNNNNNNNNNNNNNNNNNNNNNNNNNNNNNNNNNNNNNNNNNNNNNNNNNNNNNNNNNNNNNNNNNNNNNNNNNNNNNNNNNNNNNNNNNNNNNNNNNNNNNNNNNNNNNNNNNNNNNNNNNNNNNNNNNNNNNNNNNNNNNNNNNNNNNNNNNNNNNNNNNNNNNNNNNNNNNNNNNNNNNNNNNNNNNNNNNNNNNNNNNNNNNNNNNNNNNNNNNNNNNNNNNNNNNNNNNNNNNNNNNNNNNNNNNNNNNNNNNNNNNNNNNNNNNNNNNNNNNNNNNNNNNNNNNNNNNNNNNNNNNNNNNNNNNNNNNNNNNNNNNNNNNNNNNNNNNNNNNNNNNNNNNNNNNNNNNNNNNNNNNNNNNNNNNNNNNNNNNNNNNNNNNNNNNNNNNNNNNNNNNNNNNNNNNNNNNNNNNNNNNNNNNNNNNNNNNNNNNNNNNNNNNNNNNNNNNNNNNNNNNNNNNNNNNNNNNNNNNNNNNNNNNNNNNNNNNNNNNNNNNNUGCCCAAGGAAUGGUUUAUGUGAUAGUUUAUACUUGUUGUCUGUGUGAUACUUGUAUGUGCCUGGUAGGGAGGUGAGUGUGGGCGAGGUCCCGUAUCUCACCAAUAGCAGAGUGUGGAUGGUGUUCCACAUCUCAUUAGCAGCAGAACAGGGGCGAGGCCCAAGUUAGGGAAGGAGUGAGUGUGGGUUGGGCCCGUAUCUCACUAUCAGCAGGAGCAUGGACGGGGUUCCAUGACUCAUCAGUAGCAGGACAAGGGCGAGGCCCAGGAUAGGCAGGGCCUUAGGACAGGAUCCGUUAGCAUGUUUUUAGUUUAUGAGUUGCGAUAUGUUUAUAUGCUAUUAUAUGUUAGUGGGUGGGGCCCAGUGACAGGCAAGGCCUAAGUGAAACAGAUCUGUAUACGAGCGGGGCUCGAAGCCAGGCGGGGCCUGGAGCGGCUGGGCCGUUGUAGCGGGCGAGGCCCGAGGCAGGGGGCGAGGCCCAGGAUAACGGGCGUGGCCCAAUAUGUGCAGUAUGUGGUUAUGCAUGGUAUGUGGUAGGGUGGGGAACUCACUAAGCUUCGUGCUUACGGUUUUCAGUUUUGGUUUCAGGUACUUCCGGUAGCGGAGGGAAGAGCUCGAGGUGAUCGCAUGACGCACACCAUAGAUUAGACAGCCCGGGGAUGAUUUACUCUGAUAAUGAACAUGUGUUUUGGAAAUUAAUACUCUGAUUAUGUUUCGGAUUGAUGAAUUUGCUUUAAGUAAUGUUUUAUUAAAAGAAAUUUUUUAGUCUUAAAUUUUGGGACAUUACAAGUUGGUAUCAGAGCCUUGGUUUGAGGGAUUCGGACAUAUCCUCGGGUGUGUCUGAACUCAAAUUAAGGGAUUGGAUAAAAGUUUUCAAAAUGAAAGGACAAGUUUUGUAAAAAGAGUUUUAGAAAUGAAACAGUUUUAGAAAAGCGAAAAGAAUUCAGAAUGAAAAGAAUUUUGAUAAGAGAAAAGGGUGUGGUGCAUGCAAUCAGCUGAGCUCAAGUAAGUACCCCAAAAUACCCAUACAAGUUUAUGUUAUGAUUAUCAGUUAGUAGAACAACAUGCUAGAUUAGGACUAAGGAUCUAGGGAGGAUGCCUUAUGUGCCUGUUAUAUGUGCUUUGAGCUACAUGGUAGUGCUGAUUAGACAGUAGUAGGAUAGCCUGUUUAGGUUAUGCCUGAGUUUAUGAGUUUGUGUUGCAUGCCAGUACAAAUUCUUGCUACGUGGAUAUGAUUGCUUGAGUAUGUUAUGGUUAGAUUUUCCUUUGUCUGAAUGCUGCUUNAAUAUGGGAUUCCGAGUGAUGGGAGUUAGCCAUUAGGUGGAUACGUCACGUCACACGUGAUCAGGGUUGAAUAAUCUUAGAGUGCUGGAUUUGGCCCUAUUUCGCAGCUCUUGUUUGAGUCCAACCGUUGUAGGGCGAAGGAUUAUCAGAGCCUCGUCACAUGUGAUGGUAUCCAGGUAAUGGCUAAUUGGCAUCACAAGGAGACCUUCAGCAGCUGAGGACUGGUUUGAGUUGAGUCAGAGGUUUCCCUAGGGAAAGCCUAGGAUGAGGUAAUGUUGGGAGCAGUAGUAGUGGAAAAGGGACCUGGUGGAGUCGAAGCAGUUCUUGAGGAAAGUACGAAUAGAUGUGGAAGGUAGUAUGGGCCCGUACUACUGAAAGCAGAGGAUCCGUACUCGAUUCAAGAAAGGCCGAGGUGAGACCGGGGAACUUGUAGUGUGUGUAUAUGAUCCCUCAGCAAUGAUGAGUGUUCUUAUGGUAUUGCGAUAUGUUUUCAGCAUGGUGACGUUGCGAGAGAGACUAGUGGGCGGAUCAGGCACCAGAGAGAGAUCAGGCUCGGGUUCAGGAGCCGAGCAGCUCGAGGAGCGAAUGAGGGAGUUGAUAUCCGUGGAGAUUACGCGCAGUAUUCUAGAUCAGACUCCUGUGAUCUUUGGCACGGUCAAGGAGGGUAUAUUGGAAAUUUUGGAUGAGAGCCUGGGAGCCUUCCGUACCGAGAUGAUGGCUUUGAUGGGAGCGCGUACCUUGACAUUUCGAUAGUUCAGGGCUUGCGGGGCACCAGAUUAUCAUGGGGCUAGGGACCCCAUUGCCAGCAGCAGAUGGUUGGCUGAUGUUGCCAACGCAUUCCGUAUAAGCCGGUGUCCUGAGGGGGACAAGGUCAGACUCACUUCCUGUCUUCUGAAGGACAAAGCGAGGGAUUGGUGGGAAGAGAUCGGUCAUGCUUUGGGGGAUGAUGCCGCGUUAGACGCGAUGACAUGGAGCGAUUUCUCGGCCAGGUUCAGGGCGGAGUUUUCGCCAAUUAUUGAGGUGCAGCAGUUGGCACGGGAGUUUCAGGAUUUGACGCAGACCACUGAGACUGUGGCGGAGAUCACUGCCAAGUUCAGGGAGACGGCUCUUCUUGUACCGCAGUAUGUCGCGGAUGAGGAGAUGAAUAAGGCCCGAUACCAUGAGAUGUUGAGGGAUCACAUCAGGCAGUUUGUGAGCAGGUCCAGCUGCAAAACGUUAGAGGAUAUGAUCGCUCGGGCUAGAGAGAGGGAAAUUGAUUUAGAGCAAAUCCGGAAGAGGAAGCCGGAUGAGGCUCAGGUAGCCACAGGUUCGGGCAAAAGGCCCAAGGGAACAAAUUCGAGAACGAGGGAUUAUCAGGACCGCAAACGGUGCGGGAAGUGUAGCAGGGCGCACGGGGGCACGUGUAGGAGUGGUAGCGGUGGCGAGUCUGGCUGCUUCAAGUGCGGUCGGACUGGUCAUUUUAGCAGGGAUUGUACUGUUACUACCACACAGGGAUCAGACUUGAUAUGUUUUCACUGCAAUCAGCGGGGCCACAAGAAGGCCCAGUGCCCCAGUUUGUUUUCUGCAGGACGGGUGAUGGCACCUGCCCCUGCAACUUUGAGGAUCACAGACGGCCGUCAGGGUCGUGCAGAGGCGCCUGCGGUAGGAGGCAGGGCUUUUCAGAUUACUGCCUUGGAGGCGUGAGCAACAUCGGACGUUGCAGGUAUGCGAUUUCUGUUUUCAGUUCUUUUAUUUGUGCAUGAUUAUAUUGUUAUGGUUCUGCAUCAUUAUCGGUAUGAGUAUUUUAUUUUUGUGCGGCUUGAUCGUGAUCGAGUUAUAUGCCAUUUGCAUACCUUGGAUAUUUGAAUGGUAGUUAAGGGAUGGGCUCUAUUUGAGAAGGUUACUUAGGAUGCAGUAACUGUAGCAUGCCUGGGAGGGACUUGGUAUGUCUCGCUAGUUUGGAGCCGUAUAGUUUUAGAAAUGGAUUGGUUAGAUCCCUAGCUAUGGUAAGCUUGGGGUUCCUUAGCAUAUUAAUUAUGGGAUGGUAGCAAGGAUUGGGAUUUCUUUUUGAGCAUUGAGCAGCAAGGGGUAAGCAGGAUCGAAGUGGGGGAGAAUCCUCCGAGUGUACAAGGGCAAGAGCACCCAGAUCCUGAAUGAGUGCACGAUCUCUGAGAAGGAAAAAAAAGUAGUAUAACGUUUGAUGGAUUGAGGAGUUCAGGGUUGGGAGUUUGAGAAACUCCCCAUCAGCUAGUGCAUGUAAUGGUGAUGGUUAGUACGUGGUUGGGAAUUCAGGUUGGUGGAUCGCCUGUAGGACUCAAGAGAGUCAGAAUGAGGAUCUUGAGAACUGAUAGCACGGGGUGCUUUCGUAUUAGUAGUCAGUGGUAGAAAGUGUUGUAAGACUACGGGGCAGCCGUAGCAUUCACUAGCAGUCAGUGAUGGAAGGUGAUGUAAGACUGCGGGUAAGCCGUAGCAUUUCAUAGUAGCUUCGUUAGCGGAGUUGGGGCGAGGCCCUUAUCUCCUAGUGAUCAGAAAGGGAUCAGGAAUGGGUAGUGGAUGAGAAUGAUAGGGAGUUUGCCUAUAUAGCCCCAGAGAGGUGAGACCUUGGGAGAGGCCACUCCAGGAUAUUGUUGGGUGAGACCCGUGGGCGAGGCCCGUAUGAGAGUAGAAGUAUAGGUGAGACCUAAGAGCAGGGUUUCUCAGUAGUAUGGUUGGGUGAGACCCGUGGGCGAGGCCCGAGCGAGAGUGGUUAGACAAGUAGGACUAGAAGGAUGGAGGCGGGUGAGACCCAUGGGCGAGGCAUGUGGAUUUUAGCAGCACAGGUGGGACCUGGUAGGGACCUUAGUGUCAAGAUAGGGGAUCGAGGAUCCCAGGAUUGUAGUGCCUAAAUGGCAGAAUAGAUUGAGCAGUUAUAGGUGGUCGAAGCUUCUUCGAAAGUCGCUGGGAGCGACUAGGAGUUGUGUUAGGACUAGCGAUCGGUGGGAGUCGGUAAUCCAGAUAUCGUUAGGUUGGUAGGGACUAGGGUGGUCUCAGUUCAUCCGGAAGGCAGAUAAGGAAUAACAUAAAUUUUCAUUCAGUAGCAGUGCGGGUAAGCAGUCUAUGGUGGAAUCCAGUUAGUUGAUCGUGGGGUGCUCGACACCAAAUUAUAGUAGAAAGAAAUGCCCAGUGGAUACUGGCGAUAAUGACCCGUACUGGAGGUAGCGGGAGUAAUGGAUUUGGUGAAGUUAUGAUCUUCACAGUGACAGAGGAAAUAGUUGGUUAUGGAGCAUCGCCUUGGGAAGGCAAGGAAAUCAUGCAAGAAAGGAAGGGCUGAACCCCUAUGGGGUCAGUGCAGUUAGGGUGCAAACGAGCCGAGCCGAGCCCGAGCCUGGCCAGGCUCGGCUCGGGCUCGUUUAAGUUAUAUGAGGCUCGAGCUCGAGCUCGGCUCGAUUCGAUCUUUCUUGUACUGAGCUCGGCUCGAGCUCGUAAAAAAUUAUCCAAGCUCGGCUCGGGCUCGGGCUCGAAUCGUUUUUUAUCUGGCGUGCCUAAAUAAGCUUAAGCUCGGCUCGAGCUUGUUAAGAAGCUCGUUUACAAAUAUCCUAAAUCCGUAAUUCCUCUAAUAUAUUUUUAUUUCAAUAUAUAUAUAAAUAAUAAUAUAUUAUAUUAUGUAAAGGCUCGUUUAGGCUCGCGAGCCUAAUCGAGCUUAAUGACAUAGGCUCGAGCUCGAGCUCGUUUAAUAAACGAGCUUAAUAUUAAGCUCGAGCUCGGCUCGGGCUCGUUUAAAAUCGAUUUUGAGUCGAGCUUUUAACGAUCCGAUCUCGAGUAGCUCGCGAGUAGCUUGACUCGUUUGCNNNNNNNNNNNNNNNNNNNNNNNNNNNNNNNNNNNNNNNNNNNNNNNNNNAACAUGGGAAGUGGCAUCAGAUUUGUUCCGAGUCUUGACAAGUGUCGUCGGAUAUCCAAACUAUAUAUAUAUAUAUAUAUAUAUAUAUAUAUAUAUGAAAGAAAAUGAAGAAACAAUUGCUUUAUAUAUGUGAUUGUGAAACUAACCUGUGAAUGAACCAUUGUUUAUGCUGCAUGUAUCAUAAACAAAUUAUUAGAGUUAUGUAAUAUGAUUAAUAACCCCAAAUUAUUAAAAAAAAUAAUAAAAAAAAAACAAAAAAAACAUACAAUUAAAUCUUAAAUGUUUUUGUAACACCCAAAGUCAGGAAGGCCAAGAAAGGAAAGAAAACCCUAAUUUUAAGGGACGACUCGUCGAGUCCAAUGAGGAACUCGGCGAGUCCGAGCGGGAUCCGGGUCAAGGAGUAAGUGACCGACUCAGCGAGUCGGCCAAGGANUCAGGGUCAGGGUUGACCCGAGAUUAUUAUCCGCAAGGAUUAAUGUUAGUCGGAAUAACCGGGCGAAGGACCAGCGAAGGUAGGCAGCUGAUAUUGGAUCAAUUAGUAGAGUAUUGGAAGCAGAUCGCAAGCGGUUGGCCAUAGCAAACUUAGAGGACAAAGUUUAGUUUAAGUGGUGGAGAGUUGUAACACCCAAAGUCGGGAAGGCCAAGAAAGGAAAGAAAACCCUAAUUUUAAGGGACGACUCGUCAAGUCCAAUGAGGAACUCGGCGAGUCCGAGCGAGAUCCGGGUCAAGGAGUAAGUGACCGACUCGGCGAGUCGGCCAAGGAGACUCGGCAAGUCUCGUCUGAACGAAGAAAACCCUAAAUCCGGGACUUGGAGCCUAUUUAAACGUCUCAUUCUCUCCCCUAGGGCUCCUUUACUGCCUCCCUCACCCAAAACACCAAACCCUAAGCCCCAUUGUUGCUCAUUCAAGCUUCCAAGCCAUUUUUGGGAGAUUUGAAGGAAGAAGAAAGAGGGAAAUCAUUGAAGCUUCAAGGAUUGGCCUUAGAUCUGGAGUUUGUGGAACCUUUCUGAGUUAUUGAAGGUACUAAGUCGUUUCCUUCAUUUAGAUCUAUUCUAGUUGUGAGUUUUGGGGCUUUUUAAGCCAUGUUUAGAUAUCCCUUUGAGUUAGAAGCCAGAUCUGAAGUUGCUACUUCGGAUCUAAGCACAUUUUGGCCUUGUGAAGCAUAAAGUAUCUGCCCUUGAGUUGAUUAUAGAGCCUCCUUGCCUUAAACCCUAGUUCAUGGUGUAUUUAGCCUAGAUCUCCUUCUCUACACGUAAAGUUUGCAACUUUACGUGAGGAAUAGGCUUGGGAAGGGUAGAUCUACAGUUUGGAUUCCAUGCAUGACUCAAAAGCCCUCUGCAUGUAUGAAGAUAUGAAUGGACUCGGUGAGUCCUUUGAGUGGACUCGGCAAGUAGCAUGAAGAUUAGGAGGAACUCGACGAGUGGGAUGAACAACUCGUCGAGUCGGUUGAAGAUUGCCUUGGACUCGGCGAGUCAGGUCACGAAACCCCAAACCCUACGAGUUGAGACUCGAAUCAGCAAGUUGAGUGGAGACUCAGUGAGUUGGUCUGGUCGGGACUCGGAAAUCGGUAGACUCAGCGAGUCAUGGACUGACUCGGCGAGUCGAGUCGCAAAUGGAAGGACUUUGAGCAUAUGAACUCGGGGAGUCAGUAGGUAGACUCGGCGAGUAGGGUUGACCUGGAAGGUUGACCUUGACCAGGACUUUGGCUUUGGCCAGAGUUGACUUGGUUGACUUUUGAGAAGCCGGUUACGCUACGUGUUGUAUUGAUAUUGGUAGCUCGGGAAGCUAGCGGAGCAACGGUUCAGAGAAUUGUGGGUCAACAUCCAGAAGGUUAUCAGCAAGUUCAGCAGUUCGAGGUGAGUUUCCCUUUGUGUGAAUGGGUCUAAGGCCACAAUGCCGGCCCAUGUAGUUAUGAGUAGAAGACCCGGGGGUUAGCCCUAGGCACAGUAUGCUAGUAUGAUAUUCAGGACGAGGUCCAAUGAUAGCGGGCGGGGGCCCAAGGAAUGGUUUAUAUGAUAGUUUAUACUUGUUGUCUGUGUGAUACUUGUAUGUGCCUGGUAGGGAGGUGAGUGUGGGCGAGGUCCCGUACCUCACCAAUAGCAGAGUGUUGAUGGUGUUCCACAUCUCAUUAGCAGCAGAACAGGGGCGAGGCCCAAGUUAGGGAAGGAGUGAGUGUGGGCUGGGCCCGUAUCACACUAUCAGCAGGAGCAUGGAUGGGGUUCCAUGACUCAUCAGUAGUAGGACAAGGGCGAGGCCUAGGAUAGGCGGGGCCUUAGGACAGGAUCCGUUAGCAUGUGUUUAGUUUAUGAGUUGCGAUAUGUUUAUAUGCUAUUAUAUGUUAGCGGGUGGGGCCCAGUGACAGGCGAGGCCUAAGUGAAACAGAUCUGUAUCCGAGCGGGGCUCGAAGCCAGGCGGGGCCUGGAGCGGUGGGGCCGUUGUAGCGGGCGAAGCCCGAGGUAGGGGGNUAGCGGGCGAGGCCCGAGGCAGGGGGCGAGGCCCAGGAUAGCGGGCGUGGCCCAAUAUGUGCAGUAUGUGGUUAUGCAUGGUAUGUGGUAGGGUGGGGAACUCACUAAGCUUUGUGCUUACGGUUUUCAGUUUUGGUUUCAGGUACUUCCGGUAGCGGAGGGAAGAGCUCGAGGUGAUCGCAUGGCACACACCAUAGAUUAGACAGCCCGGGGAUGAUUUACUCUGAUAAUGAACAUGUGUUUUGGAAAUUAAUACUCUGAUUAUGUUUCGGAUUGAUGAAUUUGCUUUAAGUAAUGUUUUAUUAAAAGAAAUUUUUUAGUCUUAAAUUUUGGGACGUUACAGUUUUCCAAAUUGGAAGCUUUUCCUCUGAAUCUACUUGCAAAUUGGAUGGCUGGAGAAACAUAAUUCAAGUUCUAAACGGACUGUCAAUGGCAAUUAUUUAGAGAUUCAAAAAUUACAAAAUUAUUUAGUGAUAAUGCUUAAAAUAUGUAUAUAAAGGCUAAACAAAUAGGGCAUUUAGGAUACCUUUGCUGUACAAAUUAAUGAAUUAAGUUGAGAAGGGCAUAACAGUAGCAAGCAAUUGAGCCUAUGAGAAAACAUAGUGUCAAUAUCAGUUUUAAUUCUCAUUAAAAGAAGACAAAUAGAAGAAAUAAGUCGCACCUUUUCAUUUCACUUAUUUGCUUUUUGAAGUCACAGGUAGGUGUUUAUUGUUGAUGUAAGGAAGGAGCUUAAAUACCUGUAAAAUCAAAGUCCAUGUCAUCACUAUCUCAUACCAAUAAUGUCAAAUAAAAAUAGUGGAGACUACCUUAUCCAAGUUUCUUCGUUUGCCUCAUCGCUCAGCUUCUCCCUGCCCCCUUUUUCAGGAUAUUGUGACAGUAAAAUCACACAACCAACCACAAUUUUAUUACAAAAAACCUCAAAUGCCUGUUUUAGGGCCUAAAGGAAAAAAAAAAUACGGUAAUUUUUUUUCGUAAUGAAUACUGAAAUAAACAACAUGAUAAAAAAGACAAAACUGACCUUGUGAAAUAAUGUAUGAUUCAUGAAGCAAUCUGUAACAUAUGUAAUAAAGUUGGCAUGCAACUCCAUUAUUUUCCUUACAAACAAAGAAAAAAUCAACCAUGUUUAUAUAACUCAUUUCUUGGGUAAUCAAUAACCUCUGUGUCAUGUUUUGUUGGUUUGGAGGUUUCAUAUACUUGAUUAACAAACUAAAAACUGCCAUUAACCUGAUAUUGACACAAAAUAGACAAUUAAGUGUUUAAAACUAAUAUCCAAUACUUCCAAAUUACCUAAAAAGGCAAUAUAAUAUGAAGGUUCUAGUAUAGAGAUUUGUAGAAAGUUUGACAUAUUUACCCUUGCUUUCUAGAACUUGGACCUUAACUCAAAACGACAGCCAUAAACUUGGACCUUAACUCAAAACGACAGCCAUAAAUCCUUAACUAUAUCGGGAUAGAAACUUGUACCUUAACUCAAAACGAAAGCCAUAAAGCAGAAGACAAAGUCAAUUAGGAACAGAGUCUUCAUUUCCAAGCAUAAUCAUAAAUCCUUGGGAAGACCCACUCUUCUUCGAUUAACCAAACUACAAAGUCAAUAUUUCCGGGUCAGUUGUGUGGAUGUCUUGAAGCGAUUUUGUCAAACAUGUAACAGCAAGAAGUAGACUUAGAAUAAACCUCAAAAAAUCAAAAAGUUUUGUGAAUAAAAAAUUGAAGGAAAUCCAAAAUCUAAAUUAAUAUAGAUAGAGAGAAAAUACGUACCUAUGAACAAAGUCGAUCAAUUUCUUUCUGAAUCCCAUAAACAGCUGAAAAAUCUACAUAAAUCAAAAACAAAAAAGAAAAGGUUACGGAAAACUCCAUUCACAAUCUACAUCAAUAUUUUCUAGGUUUUUCUUGAAGAUCAAUUGAGUUUAGGCGGUGAGUCUCAAGUAACACCGACUCCAAACAGGCGGAAUUGGAGGGUCCAAACCAUCUACUAUUCAUCGAGGGUGGGUGGGUCGUGCGGUGGGAAUAACUCUUCUUCGCUUCAUAUUCCUCAUCCUCCUCAUCCCCUUCCACCGGGAGAAUCGGUGCAGGUGGUGUCGGUGCCGGUGGCGCCGCAGCUUCAGAAGAUGAUUGUCGCAUAGAGGGAGAAGGUGCAUAUAGUGAAACCAAAUUAACAUGAAACCUUACAAACUUCGGUUGUAUUGGAUACAACCAAUCGAUAGAAAAGUUGAAAAACAAUUAGAAACCAUAGAAUCGUGUGUCUCACAAAUCCGAAGCCAAUAUAGAAACAGAAGAUUCUUCAUCUACCUUUUUUGUUAUCAGAUCGGAACAUCCAAGACCCAUCUCAUCCUAAUCUCUGCAUCAGACUCAUCUUCUCUUCUCACAGUCGUCGGAAACCCACACAGAACAACCACGACCAACAAAUCAAACAAAUCCUAUCUAUAAAAAAGCAAAAUGGACAGUCAAUUUAGGGCAUGAAAUCGUUGAAGGAAUGUAGAUAACUGAAACCUGAGUAUUUCUUUGAUGGAAAAUCAAGGCGGUGGAUUGGAUGGGGGUGGCGAUGAAGGUUAUCCGAGGAAAGAAGAAAAAGAUAUUGGAUAAGUAGCCGGUGGGAAGGAUCCGGAAGCCGAUAAAUCGACAACAAUUGUAAUAUAUACAAAAAUACAGGGACCGUAAUGUAACUAAAGAGACCAAUUCUGCCAAAUAAAUGGACAGUUUACUGUUCUUUUUCUUCACAACUUUAAUAUAUAAUAAUAAUAAUAAUAAUAAUAAUAAUAAUAACUAGAAAGGUUACCCCCGCUACGCGGGGGCCAGAAGCUUUCGAUGUUGUUUCCGAAUCGAUAAAUAUGACAGACGUAGAAAGUGCAAGGAUUAAAAGCCCGGGCUUUGCCUCGGACCGUUUUUUUCAUGUUUUUAUGAAAAAAUGUAAGAGUUUUGGCUGCAAGGACCAGAAGUGUCAAAAUGGAUAAAAAAAUUAAAGGGGUAAGAAUUAGCAAGAUUUUAGAAAAGGGGUUAAAGCUGUCAAACCGUUAAAGUUUUGUGGCAAACUUUAAAUAUUAAAAGGUUCCUAAAAAGUGUAAAAGUAUUGAUUACAAGGACAAAAAGUGUAAAAAUGGCUAAAGAAUGAGGAGCAAAGUUGACAAAAAAAACAUCCAAAUUUACUAUUCCUAACUUUGAAGCCUAACAAUAGUACAGAGACCAACUCUGCCAAAAAAAUGGUAACUUCACAAUUCCUAAGAUUCAUAUCUUUAAUAUAUGAGUAAAUUACACGAAUGAUCCCUAUGCUUUGGGGUAAUUUGUGCGCUUGGUCCCUAACUUAUUUUUUUUAACUCGGAAUGUCCUUAUUAUUUGUUUUUUGUUACGCGCUUGGUCUCUAUCUUACCUAAAAAGACUACUAUUUAAAUAGGAAAAAAUAGUGGGGUAUGUAAGGUAAGGUGAAGGGGUGGGGUUGGAGUGUGUUUAUUUAAAUAAAUUAAAAAAAUCAAGGGCAAAAUAGUCUUUUUACGUAAGACAGAGACCAAAUGUGUAACAAAAACAAACAGUGGGGACCCUCCGAGUUAAAAAAAUAAGUUAGGGACCAAACACGCAAAUGACCCCAAACCAUAGGGACCAUUUGUGUAAUUUACUCUCUCUCUCUCUCUCUCUCUCUCUCUAACAANNNNNNNNNNNNNNNNNNNNNNNNNNNNNNNNNNNNNNNNNNNNNNNNNNNNNNNNNNNNNNNNNNNNNNNUACGUGAUUUAUAAACUUUUUGGUUUAUUAUUGUCGGUCCCAAACCCGGAUAAAGAAUAAGUGUUUAUAAUAUUAAGUAUAAUAAAUGUUAAAAGGCCUUAAAUUUUUUUGUUCGCUUACAACCCUUAAAUUGGUUGAAUCGUUCCCGACCAAAAAUAAAAAAAAUUACUAUAUGCAUGUAUAUAACGUAUAUAAUAAAUCAAAAAACAAAGAAUAAAGAUUGUUGUACAUGUACUAAUUUGAGUUUAGUUUCUUAGGUUGAACGGUGUGGUAAGGGCUUUACCGUUGGUAUGCCUAUGUGACACAUUUCACCGGCGACAAACACCACCCCUCACCUAUAAUUUUAUCGGCAGUAUACUGCAGGCGAUAUGUUUCUACAAUCGGUAAAAAUAUUAUUAUGUUUUUCUCUCUCUACUCCCUCUUUUUUACUUAGUGGACACCAUCAACACCACCCCUAAUCAUUUUUAAAAAUGGCAAAAUUUAUAAAGAUGUCACUUCGUCAUGUUUUACCUCGGGUAUGAUUAGGGGUGUUCGUUUGGAUGGAUGCGUUCGAUCCGAUCCAAUUAAGUAAAUCCAAAUGGAUUUUGGUUUUCAAAAUAUGGAUCCAAAUAGUCCAAACUAAAUUCAAAUCUGAUCCGAUCCGAUCCAAUUACAAUUCGGUUAGAUCGGUUUUAUAAUUCAGUUUUCAAAAACCAUAACAUUUUAAAAGGACAUAGAAUUAUAAUAUGACCUAAUUUUACCGAAGAAGCAAAAACAAAUUAUUUACUUGUGAUUUAAAAUUUAUAAACAACCACUACGAAGACAUAUUAUAGUUUAUUAUUUAAUAGAUAAAAAAACUUUUGAUAAAAAGUACAUAUUAAUGUUUUUUAUAAGGUAAAACCUUUUGAAUUUAUUUAAAAAAAAUUAUAAAAUUAAUAAAUAAUUAUAGAUAUAUUGAAAAUAAAAACAUAACAAAUUGUUAUUCGGUUUUUUUGGACUAUUCGGUUCUUAUUUUAUAAACCAAAACCAAUCCAAAAUCCAAAAUAAUAAUUCGGUUUUGUUGAAAACCAAUCCAAAAAUCUGAAUAUCCGAACUAAAUAGUUAAAUCCAAAUUGUCCAAUUGGACAAUUCGAUUUUAUCCAAAUAGUGAACAGCCCUAGGUAUGAUACCUUUUAAGGGCAAUUUUCUAAGAAAAUUUGAUUUCUACUUAAUCUUUGAUAUAAACUACACAUUAUACAAAAUACUAGUUCAUUUUGAUGAUAGGUUCUAUUAAAUUUACGAUCAUUGUUUUUAAAUAAAUAAUCCUGACUAGGAUUUCCAUCUUAACAACAUUGCAAUAAUUGGUUUGUUAAACGUUAUAUAAAUUUAUGUAUUAAAAACCACACAAACAGUAUACAAAAAAAUAUCCAAACACUACGAAAUCAAUUAUUUAAAUCAUAGUUAUCCGAUAACUAAUUUCAGAUCAUCCACAAACCAUGUUUUUCCAAAAAAGAUUACUUUAAUGGAAAAAGAUACCAUAUUCAAUUGAACAAAAAGAUGCUUUGUUUGAGCAGGAAGUUUGAAAAACAGAAAACCCUAAAGCGUGGAGAAGAUGAUGAUGUUUCCCUUCUUUCCUGCUUUAUGGACGGCUGUCAUUUCUCACUUUUUCGUAGACCCAUCGUCAAGCUUUUCACUCGAUACCUUCACCUUCUCCUAUAAGAAAACCCAAAUCAAUCGCUUUACAUUCAUCCACACCAGCGAUAACCCAGAAGAACUUGUGGAGAUCAAAUGGCGCCUACUACCUUCGAUUACGGAUCAAUUCAAAGCUCAUCGCAGAGAAGAGGAGUGGCGAUGGUUUUAGCCAUGGUUACCGCCGUGAUGCUUUCGCCGUUGUACGUGAAUGGUCGACAGAAAGAAAGUCACUUGGAGACGAGAUUAUGGAGCUCUGGAUUUGUUCUGCCGAUGGUUCUUGCAGGGUUGAUUGUCGCCAUUAAAACAACUUCAUCUUCUUCUUCGUCAUCAAGUGAUGCAUUGUGUGAAGAUGAUACGUCGUCGUCAUGGAUGCUAAGAGUUGGGAGUUCGUCAUGGGGAUUAGCUGGGGUUCUUGGGAUGUUCUUGUUUGUGGUGUAUUGGCACGACACUGUUCAACAUUUAUUCUGGAGAUAAGAAUAGAUUGAACUCUAGUGUUUUAUCUUCCGAUUGUAAGAUUCGUUUUAGAACGAUUUCAGAUAGACUGCGGAACCUCGUAGCUUAUAUAUACAUUAUACAACUACAAGUCAUAAUUUCGACGCAUUUAAUUAUAUUCUUAUCAUCGUAUUAACAAAAUUCUAGACCUAUGAUACUACUACGUAUUGCUAGAUUAACUAUUACCAGAAAUUUAUGUUAGUAGUAGCACCAAAAUACCAAAUUUAUUUUUUGGCUUUUUUGAAAUUUAUAGGAAUAAACUUUUAGUUGUUUUGAAUUUUAUAGCAACCUAGUUUCAGUUUUUCAGCCAUUCAUAAUCAAUAUACCAUGCUUAUUUUUUAUCCAUAUAAAAAGGUAAAGAAGUAAAUUAUAUGUAGAUGUAUGAAGAAAAAGGUUAUUCUAGUUAAUGUCACCUAUAUAGAAGAACUAUUUCUCAAAUGUCGACUCAAAACCCAGCUAUUGUUUAAAUUCAAAAACGAUUUUUUUGGGGGAAAUCUUAGAUAGUAGUUGGCGUUCUUUUGAUAUUUGCCCCAUGCUUUAAGGUAAUAACAACGUUCUUUUUUCACUUUAUUAACUCAUUAUUCUUGAUUUUACUUGUCUCCAAGUAGCAUACGAUCCACAAGUACAAAGUAUCCAUAUAUAAUUAUAAGAAUACAAGAUGACUUUAUUGGAAUAUGCAACAAACUGUAUUAACUAAUUAGAAUAAAAGGAAAAAAUGAGAAAUUUUUUAAUAUGCGACUUAAUGGUUAUGUGGGAAAAAUAGGUUUCACUGGUUCAAAUAUUUGAGCGCGAUUAUGAAGAUCAAUGCCACAAGAAUAGAAAAUGAAAUAUAACCUGUUCGUAUGACAUUGAUCUUCAUAAUUGCGCAUCCAUUAUUAUACCAAAAAUAUUAUACUAAAACAAUAAGCCUUUACAAAAUCUACCCUAAUAAAUGAAAAUGACUUUGCCACAUGUCCUCUUCUCAUUCAUUUGGACACAUGACAUUUUCUAAAAAUUUUAAAAUUUUCUAUUUUCCACUUGUCAUUUUAUUGUAUUUUUGAUUUUAUUAAAUUAAAAUCCACAUUUAAUAUAUAAGGUAAUAUAUAUGUAAGGUAUUUAUUAGAAAAUGGUUUAUAUAGGUAAUGUAUCUAAUGCAUUAAAGUCUCAUUAAUUUUAAUAAUUCAAAAAAUUUCUUAUUUUUCUUAUAAAUUUAAAGUUUUCAAAUUGUUAAAAUUUUAUAUUUAAUUUUUUUUAAAUAAACUCAUGUAAUACAUGGGUCUCACACCUAGUCAUUAUAAUAGUUAUUCAGCCACAUCAGUAUUGUAUAAGUAUGGCCUAUUGGCCUUAAUCUGUAUAACCAGGCAUUGAUAAUUUUCUUUUUUUAUCUCAAAGCUCUCUGUUUGAUCUAGUUCCCUAGGCUCUAUUCGUAUCAACAUUUUCAUCAUUUAAAGAAACAAAGAAUAUCAUCAAACACCUUAUGUGCAUAAGAUUUGACAUAGAAGCUUCUUCAUAUAACUAGUUCUUGAAGAAUGAUUUGAAAUCAAUACAAAAUGUGUAUCAAAUGAAAAAAGUAGACUGAAAUUUAUAUAAAUUGAAGACCCCGUGUGGUAUGUUUCCUCACUUUUCUUUCUUUUCUUGUUCCCUCGUUUUAUUCUCAUUCCCUCUAAAUUCUUCACAAAGCGAACAAUUUCCUCUCAAAGCCCUAAAUAACCGUCAAGUCUCUCCUCCGCCCCGGAAAUCGCCUUCACCAUAGUCAAUCUGCAUCGCUCCUCUUUGAAGCCUCUGAAAGGAAAACCUAAUCAGAAAUCACAUCCUUGUUGGCUUUCCUCUUGGUCUGUCUCCCUUCCUUGUUGACUCGCCACUUAAUUCCUAUCUAACGCCUUUCGAUCUAUUGGUUCAUCAUAUACUGUUGAUUUAGAUCGUACAACUACUCAGCAGUAACAGCGGCGUCGAUCACCAGCGGUGUCGAUCACCUGAUAGGGUAGCAGCGGCGGUUCUGUUGAUGGUCUGAAACACUUUGAAAACUUUUAGUAGUUACAAAAUUUACUAAAACAAAAACGCACAACAAAAGCAAGAAAUCGAAAACGCACAACGAAAGCAAGAACGGUGGGUA